rnacentral:lncRNA from 1 species
GAAAAAUAAAAGUGUGAUGAUCAUCAUUUUUAGAGCAUUGUCCCAAGUGAGGAAAGGAUGAUGGAGACUUUGAUUCCCCCACAAGUCGGGAUGAGACUCCGAACGAAAAAAAAGAGGCCAUAAAAAAGGAGAAAGGCCCAAAUAAAAAAAUGAGAGAAAAAUAGAGAAGGGACAAUGUUACUAUCCUUUUACCACACUUGUGCUUCAAAAUAGCACCAUGAUCUUCAUGAUAGAGAGUCUCUCAUUCUGUCACUUUCAUAUACUAGUGGGAAUUUUUCAUUAUAGAACUUGUCUUGUAUAUUCCAAUGAUGGGCUUCCUCAAAAUGCCAUAGGUCUUCGGGAGCAAGCGAGUUGGAUGCACACCCACUUAGUUUCUUUUGUUGAGCUUUCAUAUACUUAUAGCUCUAGUGCAUCCGUUGCAUGGCAAUCCCUACUCACUCACAUUGAUAUCUAUUGAUGGGCAUCUCCAUAGCCCGUUGAUAUGCCUAGUUGAUGUGAGACUAUCUUCUCCCUUUUUGUCUUCUCCACAACCACCAUUCUAUUCCACGUAUAGUGCUAUAUCCAUGGCUCAAGCUCAUGUAUUGCAUGAAGAUCGAAAAAGUUUUGAAAAUGUCAAAAGUAUGAAACAAUUGCUUGGCUUGUCAUUGGUGUUGUGCAUGAUUUAAAUACUUUGUGUGGUGAAGAUAGAGCAUAGCCAGACUAUAUGAUUUUGUAGGGAUAGCUUUCUUUGGCCAUGUUAUUUUGAGAAGACAUAAUUACUUUGUUAGUAUGCUUGAAGUAUUAUUAUUUUUAUGUCAACAUGAACUCUUGUCUUGAAUUUUUUGAAUAUGAAUAUUCAUACCACGAUUAAGAAGAUUUACAUUGAAAUUAUGCCAAGUAGCACUCCACGUCAAAAAUUCUAUUUUUUAUCAUUUACCUACUCGAGGACGAGCAGGAAUUAAGCUUGGGGAUGCUUGAUACGUCUCCAACGUAUCUAUAAUUUUUGAUUGCUCCAUGCUAUAUUAUCUAAUGUUUUGGACUAUAUUGGGCUUUAUUAUCCACUUUGAUAUUAUUUUUGGGACUAACCUAUUAACCGGAGGCCCAGCCUAGAAUUGUUGUUUUUUGCCUGUUUUAGGGUUGUGAAGAAAAGGAAUAUCAAACGGAGUACAAACGGAAUGAAACCUUCGGGAACGUGAUUUUCUCACCGAAUACAACUCAGGAGACUUGGACCCUAUGUCAAGGCACGUAACAGGAGGCCACGGUGUAGGGGGGGCCCUACCNNNNNNNNNNNNNNNNNNNNNNNNNNNNNNNNNNNNNNNNNNNNNNNNNNNNNNNNNNNNNNNNNNNNNNNNNNNNNNNNNNNNNNNNNNNNNNNNNNNNNNNNNNNNNNNNNNNNNNNNNNNNNNNNNNNNNNNNNNNNNNNNNNNNNNNNNNNNNNNNNNNNNNNNNNNNNNNNNNNNNNNNNNNNNNNNNNNNNNNNNNNNNNNNNNNNNNNNNNNNNNNNNNNNNNNNNNNNNNNNNNNNNNNNNNNNNNNNNNNNNNNNNNNNNNNNNNNNNNNNNNNNNNNNNNNNNNNNNNNNNNNNNNNNNNNNNNNNNNNNNNNUCCUCCUAUAUAUACCCACGUACCCCCAAAUGAUCAAAUACGGAGCCAAAAACCUAAUUCCACCACCGCAACUUUCUGUAUCCACGAGAUCCCAUCUUGGGGCCUGUUCUGGAGCUCUGCCGUAGGGGGCAUCGAUCACGGAGGGCUUCUACAUCAUCAUCCAAGCCCCUCCGAUGAAGUGUGAGUAGUUUACUUCAGACCUACGGGUCCAUAGCUAGUAGCUAGAUGGCUUCUUCUCUCUUUUUCGAUCUCAAUACAAUGUUCUCCCCCUCUCUCGUGAAGAUCUAUUCGAUGUAAUCUUCUUUUUGCGGUGUGUUUGUUGAGACCGAUGAAUUGUGGGUUUAUGAUCAAGUCUAUCUAUGAAUAAUAUUUGAAUCUUCUCUGAAUUCUUUUAUGUAUGAUUGGUUAUCUUUGCAAGUCUCUUCGAAUUAUCAGUUUGGUUUGGCCUACUAGAUUGGUUGUUCUUGCCAUGGGAGAAAUGCUUAGCUUUGGGUUCGAUCUUGCGGUGUCCUUUCCCAGUGACAGAAGGGAUAGCAAGGCAUGUAUUGUAUCGUUGCCAUCGAGGAUAACAAGAUGGGUUUUUUAUCAUAUUGCAUGAAACUAUCCCUCUACAUCAUGUCAUCUUGCUUAAGGCGUUACUCUGUUUUUAACUUAAUACUCUAGAUGCAUGAUGGAUAGCGGUCGAUGAGUGGAGUAAUAGUAGUAGAUGCAGGCAGGAGUCGGUCUACUUGUCUCGGACAUGAUGCCUAUAUACAUGAUCAUACCUAGAUAUUCUCAUAACUAUGCUCAAUUCUGUCAAUUGCUCAACAGUAAUUUGUUCACCCACCGUAGAAUACAUAUGCUCUUGAGAGAAGCCACUAGUGAAACCUAUGGCCCCCGGGUCUCUUUCUCAUCAUAUCAAUCUCCAUCACUUUAUUAUUGCUUUGCUUUUACUUUGCUUUUACUUUUUGCUUUGCAUCUCUAUACCAAAAAUACCAAAAAUAUUAUUUAUCAUCUCUAUCAAAUCUCACUUUCGUAAGUAACCGUGAAGGGAUUGAAAAACCCUAAGCGCGUUGGUUGCAUUGAGCAAUUGUUUUUCUGUCGGUAUGAGGGACUCGAGCGUAGCCUCCUACUGCAUUGAUACCUUGGUUCUCAAAAACUGAGGGAAAUACUUAUGCUACUUUGCUGCAUCGAUCAUCCCUUCCUCUUCAGGGAAAUCCAACGCAGUGCUCAAGAGGUAGCAAUAUCCUACUGAUUUUCUUGUUCUUGGUUCCCCACAAAUUGACUUCUCUCCCAUUAUAUUUGGUAGACCCUUCUUGAAUACUGUUAAUGCUAAGAUAGACUGCAAAAAGGAUAUUGUUACUGUUGGUUUAGGGGAUAUGUCUCAUGAUUUUAAUUUUGCUAAAUUUCUUAGACAACCCCAUGAUAAAUAAUUGCCUAGUAAAGAUGAAAUUAUUGGUCUUGCUUCUAUUGUUGUGCCUCCUAAUGAUCCUUUAGAACAAUAUUUUCUAGACCAUGAAAAUGAUAUGUUUAUGAAUGAAAGAAGGGAAAUAGAUGAAGUAUUCUUUAAACAGGGACCUAUUUUGAAACACAACUUGCCUGUUGAAAUUCUAGGGGAUCCUCCUCCAUCCAAGGGUGAUCCCGUGUUUGAUCUUAAACCAUUACCUGAUACUCUUAAAUAUGCUUAUCUUGAUGAAAAUUAGAUAUAUCAUGUUAUUAUUAGUGCUAACCUAUCAGAGCAGGAAGAAGAGAAAUUAUUGAAAACUCUGAAGAAGCAUCGUGCUGCUAUUGGAUAUACUCUUGAUGAUCUUAAGGGCAUUAGUCCCACUCUAUGCCAACACAAAAUAAAAUUGGAGGAAGACGCUAAACCGGUUGUUGAUCACCAACGACGAUUAAAUCCUAGAUGAAAGAAGUGGUAAGAAAUGAAAUACUAAAGCUUCUGGAGGCAUGUACAAUUUAUCAUGUUGCUGAUAGUCCGUGGGUAAGUCCUAUCCAUUGUGUCCCUAAGAAGGGAGGUAUUACUAUUGUUCCUAAUGAUAAAGAUGAAUUGAUCCCACAAAGAAUUGUUACAGGUUACAGAAUGGUAAUUGAUUUCCGCAAAUUAAAUAAAGCUACUAGAAAGGAUCAUUACCCUUUACCUUUUAUUGAUCAAAUGCUAGAAAGAUUAUCCAAACAUACACAUUUUUGCUUUCUAGACAGUUAUUCUGGUUUCUCUCAAAUACCUGUGUCGAAAGAGGAUCAGGGAAAGACCACUUUUACUUGCCCUUUCGGUACCUUUUCUUGUAGGCGUAUGCCUUUUGGUUUAUGUAAUGCACCUGCUACCUUUCUUCUCUGACUUUUGUGAAAUAUUGUUGAGGUUUUCAUGGAUGAUUUCUCCGUGUAUGGAACUUCUUUUGAUGAUUGCCUAAGCAACCUUUAUCGAGUUUUGCAGAGAUGUAAAGAAACUAAUCUUGUCUUGAAUUGGGAAAAGUGCCACUUUAUGGUCAAUGAAGGUAUUGUCUUGGGGCAUAAAAUUUCUGAAAGAGGGAUUGAAGUUGAUAAAGCUAAAGUUCAUGCUAUUGAAAAGAUGUCGUGUCCUAAGGACAUUAAAGGUAUAAGAAGUUUCCUUGGUCAUGCCAGUUUUUAUAGGAGGUUCAUUAAAGACUUCUCAAAAAUUUCUAGGCCUCUGACUAAUCUCUUACAAAAAUAUGUUCCUUUUGUCUUUCAUGAUGAUUGUGUAGAAGAAUUUGAAAUACUUAAGCCUUCAUUUUUGCACCUAUUGUUCAGCCACCUGAUUGGAAUUUACCCUUUGAAAUUAUGUGUGAUGCUAGUGAUUAUGAUGUAGGUGUUGUUCUAGGACAGAGAGUUGAUAAGAAAUUAAAUGUUAUCCAAUAUGCUAGUAAAACUCUAGACAGUGCCUGCUACCUCUUGAGCACUGCGUUGGUUUUCCCUUGAAGAGGAAAGGGUGAUGCAGUAAAGUAGCAUAAGUAUUUCCCUCAGUCUUUGAGAACCAAGGUAUCAAUCCAGUAGGAGAUCACGCUCAAGUCCCGCACCUACACAAACAAAUAAGAACAUCGCAACCAACACGAUAAAGGGGUUGUCAAUCCCUUCAUGGUCACUUAUGAGAGUGAGAUCUGAUAGAUAUGAUAAGAUAAUAUUUUUGGUAUUUUUAUGAUAAAGAGAAAUAAAGAUGCAAAGUACAAUAAACGGCAAUAGAAAUAGCUAAGUGUUGAAAGAUUAAUAUGAUGGAAGAUAGACCCGGGGGCCAUAGGUUUCACUAGUGGCUUCUCUCAAGAGCAUAAGUAUUACGGUGGCUAAACGAAUUAUUGUCGAGCAAUUGAUAGAAUUGAGCAUAGUUAUGAGAAUAUCUAGGUAUGAUCGUGUACAUAGGCAUCACGUCUGUGACAAGUACACCGAAACGAUUCUGCAUCUACUACUAUUACUCCACACAUCGACCGUUAUCCAGCAUGCGUCUAGAGUAUUAAGUUCAUAAGAAUAGAGUAACACCUUAAGCAAGAUGACAUGAUGUAGAGGGAUAAACUGAUGCAAUAUGAUAUAAACCCCAUCUUUUUAUCCUUGAUGGCAACAAUACAAUACGUGUCGUUUCCCUUUCUGUCACUGGGAUCGAGCACCGCAAGAUUGAACCCAAAGAUAAGCACUUCUCCCAUUGCAAGAAAGAUCAAUCUAGUAGGCCAAACCAAACUGAUAAUUCGAAGAGUCUUGCAAAGAUAAAACCAAUCAUACAUAAAAGAAUUCAGAGAAGAUUCAAAUAUUGUUCAUAGAUAAACUUGAUCAUAAACCCACAAUUCAUCGAAUCUCGACAAACACACCACAAAAGAAGAUUACAUCAAAUAGAUCUCCAAGAAGAUCGAGGAGAACUUUGUAUUGAGAUUCAAAGACAGAGAAGAAGCCAUCUAGCUAAUAACUGUGGACCCAGAGGUCUAAACUAAACUACUCACACAUCACUGAAGAGGCCAUGGAGUUGAUGUAGAGGCCCUCCGUGAUCAAUACCCCCUCCGGCGGAGCUCCGGAAAAGGCCCCAAGAUGGGAUCUCUCGGGUACAAAAGGUUGCGUUGGUGCAAUUAGGUUUUCGUGGUGCUCGUGGAUGUUUGGGGGGUACGUGGACUUAUAUAGGAGGAAGAAGUAGGUCGGUGGAGCAACGAGGGGCCCACGAGGGUGGAGGGCACGCCUAGGGGGUAGGCACGCCCCCCUGCCUCAUGGCCUCCUCGAUUGUUUCUUGAUGCCCACUCCAAGUCUCCUGGAUCACGUUUGUUGAGAAAAUCACAUUCGCAAAGGUUUCAUUCCAUUCGGACUUCGUUUGAUAUUCCUUUUUGCGAAACACUGAAAUAGGCAAAAACAGCAAUUUGGGAUGGGCCUCCGGUUAAUAGGUUAGUCCCAAAAAUGAUAUAAAAGUGUUAACACCCAAAAACCUAUUAAUUUUGCAAAAGACUGUUAAAAGUCCCAAAAAUCAGAUCUAGAAAGUGAGUAUGAUGGAAAGGAAAAUUGUGCCAAAGUGUUAGAAGAAGAAUGCAUUAAAAUGUUUGGCACUAAAUAUUUGAAUGAUGAGCAUGAUUGCAAUGUUGUUAGUAUGAAUUCCUUGAAUAUCCAUAAUGCUAAUGAUAUGCAAAGCCACAAGCUUGGGGAAGCUAUGUUUGAUGAAGAUGAUAUUUUUUGUUCCCCAAGUUUUGAUGAGAAAAUUUAUUAUGAUGAAAGCAUGUCUCCUAUUUAUGAUGAUUAUAUUGAUGAAAGUGGAUUUGAAGAGGUCAUGACUUUAUUUUGUGAUGAAUCCACUAUUCCGGAAGAGGUUCCAAUUGAUUAUGAGAACAAAGUUGCUAUCUAUGAUGAUUAUUGUGAUGACUUGUAUGCUAUAAAGAAUAACGAUAUCCAUGAAACUUGUCACCAUGAUUUUAGUUUUAAAUUGGAUUAUGCCUCAUAUGAUAAUUAUUUUGUUGAGUUUGCUCCCACUCAAGGUUGUCAGAAUCGCAAUUUUGAAUCGGAUCGGAGCUCUGAUGGUAGAAUCGUAAAUCGUAGAAUCUUCACUACCAGGAUCGUAGAAACAUAGAUUUUAUGAACUAAAAUUGUAGAAUCAGAUGGGUAAGUUUGGAUCGUAAAGUUGUAGAAUCGUAUAACAGAAUCGUGAUUCUAACAACCUUGCUCCCACUAUUAUUCAUGAGAAGAAUCUUGCUUGUGUGGAGAGUAAUAAAAUUUAUAUGCUUGUAGAUCAUGAAAGAAUGCUUUAGGUGCUAGUUAUAUUGUUGAAUUCAUUCAUGAUGCUACUGAAAAUUAUUAUGAGGGAGGAAUAUAUGCUUGUAGGAAUUGCAAUAAUAUCAAGUUUCCUCUCUAUGUGCUUAAAGUUUUGAAGUUAUGCUUGUUUUACCUUCCUAUGCUAGUUGAUUAUUGUUCCCAUAAGUUGUUUGCUCACAAAAUCCCUACGCAUAGGAAGUGGGUUAGACUUAAAUGUGCUAGUCAUAGUAUUCUUGGUGCUCUCUUUAUGUUUAAAUUCUUAUCUUUUAUGUGAGCAUCAUUGAAAUCAUCAUGCCUAGCUAGGGGCGUUAAAUGAUAGCGCUUGUUGGGAGGCAACCCAAUUUUAUAUUUGUUCCUUGCUUUUUGUUCCUGUUUAGUAUUAAAUAAUUCAUCUAGACUCUGUUUAGAUGUGGUUUUAUGUUUUAAUUAGUGUUUGUGCCAAGUAGAACCUUUCGUAAGACUUGGGGAAAGUCUUUGCGAUCAUGCUGUAAAAAAUAGAAACUUUAGAGCUCACGAGAUUUGCUGCCAUUUGUUAUUGAAGAGUGAUAUUUAGUUAAUUCUUUUUGCAGAUGAUUAAUAGAUAAACUCCUCAUGUCCAGAAAUUUAUUUGAGAAUUUUAUGAGUUCCAGAAGUAUACGUUUGAUCCAGAUUACUACAGACUGUUCUGUUUUUGACAUAUUCUGUUUUCGAUGUGUUGUUUGCUUAUUUUGAUGAAUCUAUGAGUAGUAUCGGAGGGUAUGAACCAUGGAUAAGUUGGAAUACAGUAGAUAUUACACCAAUAUGAAUUUAUAAUGAGUUCACAAUAGUACAUAAGUGGUAAUUUAUUUUCUUAUACUAACGGAGCUUACGAGUUUACUGUUAAGUUUUGUGUUGUGAAGUUUUCAAGUUUUUGGUAAAGAUUCGAUGGACUAUAGAAUAAGGAGUGGCAAGAGCAUAAGCUUGGGGAUGCCCAAGGCACCCCAAGGCAAUAUUCAAGGACAACCAAGAGACUAAGCUUGGGGAUGCCCCGGAAGGCAUGAGGUGUUAUUUGAUUGUCUUCCUUAUGAGUGACAGUCGGGGACGAGCGAUGGUCUUUGCCUACCAAUCUAUCCCCCUAGGAUGUCACAUCCCUAGUUCUAGUAUGCUCUGAGAUAGCUAGUCAUGUGUUGCAUCAUGUUUAAAUUCUUAUGAAUUUGAAUUGGGGACUGUUGAAACCCUAGCACAGAUGAAUCCAACUAGGUUCAAAUAAAAAAAUAUCAUUUUCAAUUAUCCCAAAAUUCCUUUGGAAAAGUUCAUCAUUUUUGAAUUGGUCUAGAACCUCUGCCAAAAAAUGGUGCACAUUUUCCUAGGUCACUUUGGAUUUUUGAAUGAAUUCAUAAAGUAUUUGAAUUUGGGAAUUUAAUUGCUAUAAAUAAUUAAAAUGCCCAAGUAAUUCUAAAAGUGGUUGAGGGCUAUUGGAAAUAUUUUCAAAAGUGCCCACAAUUAUUUUCAGGGUUUUUGAAAAUGCCUUAGCAUUUUAUUUAAGUAAAAAACAAUUACAGAAAAAUAGAAAAGAGAACAGAAAAAUAAAAUAGAACACAAACCUACCUGGCCUUACCUGAGAGGCCCAGCAGCAGCCAGCCCACCAGAGCCCAGCUGCCAGUCGUCGUCCUCCUUGCGCCAGAAGGACGCAGGCGCGUGCCCGCCGCGCGUGGCCACACGCCGGCCACCUCCAGGCUGCCUGCCUGUGCGAUGACCCCCCUAGAGACGCCACGCACCCCCCAGGCCCUCUCACUCCUCCCCCCGUACUCAUCCCCUCCCCUGUCCCUCUCGCGCGCACCCACCCGAGCGCAGCCGUCGCCGCCGCUCAUUCCUGCCGUGCCCUGAGCCUCCCCCUCACCUCUCCGACAUGCCCAGGGGAUCCGCCACCGUCGCCUACGCCCCCCUGUUGACUCACGCGACUCCAAAUGCCGCCAAACGCCGUCUUCGCCAUCGUCUUCAACCUCAGGCACCCGAGCACGUCUUCGGUCGAUUCGGCGCCGCCAGGACCUCCCCGAGCUCGCUGACCCCCUCUUCGGCAUCUCCGUGAGCCCCUGCUCCCAACCCCUCUCUCCCUGCCGUCAUUUUCGCCCCCUUGCCGCAUCAACCACCGGAGCCGAGCGCUCCCCGCUGCCGGCCAUGUCGUCGCCGCGGUUGCAACACCCGCACGUCGCACUAGAGCACGUAGGCGUGCUCAGCGCUUCCUCGGGAAGCGGCAGACCCCACCAGUUCGUCUCGAAACGCUCCGUAGCGCCAAACCCGCCAUUCCCGUAGCUCCAGCCACCGCCAUGGUUGCCGUGGCCAUCGUCUCCGGCCACCCCGCAGCCUCCCGCGUGAUCCCCUGGAUGCGCGCGAGGAUGGGUAUCCCUCUGGUGCCUCCAGCGUGUUGAGCCGACCCCUGUAGUGCCGUCCCGGGCAACUCCACCGUCGGCUUUGGUCGCCGGCGUCCAACUCCGGUGGCUGGUGACAUGGCACCGUCAUUAGCGGCUAACUAACCCCCUAGAGUCACUGACAUAUGGGCCCAGGCCUUAACUAAACUAUAUUAGGUUUAGUUUAAUUUUAAUUAACCAUGUUAGUUAACUGUGUCACUGACGUGUGGACCCCACACGUCAGGUUUGACCUGGACCGAGCCGUUGACCUGCUGACGUCACUGUGAGGUCAUGCUGACGCAAUAAUUCCUUUCUGGAAUUUAAAUAAAUCUUAAAUGAUUUAUUAUUUUCAGAAAUUACCCCCAAACUUCUAAAAAUCAUAGAAAUUCAACCGUAACUCCAAAUGAAAAGAUUUAUAUAUGAAAAAUUAUCAGAAAAAUUCAAGGAAUCCAUCUGUACCAUUUUCAUGCAUGUUUGAACAAUUUUUGUCCUCUGUUUUGGACAAAACAAAUAAAGGGCAUUUAAAUAAUCAUAUAUGGAGUUGGAAUUUGAAUCAUGUAUUCAAACCAACUUCAUUUAAAUCAUAACUAGAUGCAUUAGCUCAAAUCACAGCAUAUUGCCAUGUCAUGAUCAUGCAUCAUAUUGUCGCAUAUGCAUUGAUUGUGUUCUUCUCUAUUGCCGGUGUUUGUCCUCCUUCGGUAGACGAUGUUCCGACGAUGUGAUCGAUGACACCGAUGAAGAACUAUACUAUCUUCAGAAGUGCCAGGCAAGCAAAACCCCCUUGCUCAUUCCGAUACAAUCCCACUCUCUCGCUCCUGCUCUCUUUUACUGCAUUAGGACAACAACGAUUCAUCUUUUACUUGCUGCGGUAGUUGAACCCCUUAUCCUCUGCAUGACCUGUCAUUGCCACAGUAAAUAGAUGAAACCCACUAGCAUGAGUAGGAGUUGUUUGAGCCCUGAUGUUCCUACUCAUUCAUGCUUGUUUGUCAUGCCUGCUAUUGCAUAGAGUCGUGUCAGGUCUGGUUCAUCGGGGAUGAAUCGGAGGUGUGUAAACAUGUCCUACGGUGUGUGAGCUAAGUGUGUGAACAUGAUUUGGUAAAGGUAGCGGUGAGAGGCCGUGUAGGAGUACAUGGUGGGUUGUCUCACUGAAACCGUCCUCAGGAACUGAGUUCUGUGUUUGUGAUCCAUGAAACAGCUACUACCACACAUUGGGCCCUGAAAUAUGACCCCGCUCGACUUAUUGACCCCUCUCGUCCUCUGUCCAGGAGUUGCAACUAGUUUCUGGUGUUUGUAGGUUAUGUGUUGGCGGCCGUGCGUAGCGCUGACCCUAGGGGUGGGCUAUGAUGCGGUAGAUACACUGUGGCCGGGUAUGUUGGGCGCCCGUUUGGUGUCUCUGGACCCUGUACAUAUCGUUUGGGGCCGUUGAGGACACCCCGGCCGGAUUUCCUUGCGGAUGGAACCCGAAUAGGCGAUAAACCUGGACUAGAGACUUGUGUGGUUAGUCAGGUCGUGGUCUACACCCACGUCGGCUUUCGCUUGAAGUCUACCGAGCACAUGUCAUGUGCAUACGCUAAGUGGUGGAAACAUGUGUGAUGAAGUACACCCCUGCAGGGUUAUAAAUGAUCUAUUCGAAUAGCCGUAUCCACGGUAAAGGACUUCUGGGUUGCCUAUAACAGUUCAUAGACAAGUGAAAGUGGAUACUCUAAAACUCGCAAGAUAAGUGUGAGUGCUAUGGAUGGCCUUCUCGUAGGGGAGACGGGAGCGGAUCCAUAGUGGUGUAUUGAAUGGUGAAUAUGUGGACUCGUGUGCGCCACCUCAAAAAAGUUACUUGCAGUCGUAGUUUAAGAUAGCCACCGAGUCAAAGCUGGCUUGCUGCAGUUAAACUCCACCGCCCCUCUUUGUUGAUACCGAUGCAUAUGUAGCUAGUUCUGAUGUAAGUCUUGCUGAGUACUUUUGUACUCACGUUUGCUUAAUUUAUGUUUUGCAGAGAGACUUCAGUCUCGCUAGUAGUUUUGCGUGGACUUCGACGUUUAGCUUGAUACCUCAGCUACGAUCUUGUGCCCUCGGCAGGAUCUGGUAGUUAGUCAGGCUUCUUAGCCUUUUUCAUUUGUAGAUGUCUGUACUCAGACAUGUUAAGCUUCCGCAUGUGCUUUGAUUUGUAUGCUAUGAUUGUUGGGUCAUGAGACUCAUGUUUGUAAUUUCUCGCUCCUCGGAGCCUAAUGAAUAAAUACUUGAGUUGUAGAGUUAUGUUGUGAUGUCAUGUUGUAUUUACACAUAUUGAGCAUAUUGUGUGUAUGAUUGAAAUGCUUGGUAUGUGUGGGAUCCGACAAUCUAGUUGUUUAUCCUUGGCAGCCUCUCUUAUGGGGAAAUGUAGUCUAGUGCUUCCAUGAGCCAUAGUAGUCCGCCAUAGCCCGGUUCACCGGAGUCCUGUUAGCCCAGCACUACUGCUCAGGACACUUGACUGGCCGGCAUGUGUUUCACUUCAUUCCUGUGUCUGUCCCUUCGGGGAAAUGUCACGCAGUGACAUCCGGAGUCCUUCCUAGCCUGCUACAGCCCGGGUUCCCGGAGUCCUGUUAGCCUAGUGCUACGGCCUAGAUUCACACGCUACUGACCAACAUGCUCGAUGUGAUUCAUGUAUGCCUGUCCCCAUAGGUUAGUGCCGCUUUGGGUUCACGACUAGCCAUGUCGGCCCGAGUUCACUGUCAUAUGGAUGCUAGCGACACUAUCAUAUACGUGAGCCAAAAGGCGCAAACGGUCCCGGGCCAUGGUAAGGCGACACCCGUGGGAAUACCGUGCGUGAGGCCGCAAAGUGAUAUGAGGUGUUACCGGCUAGAUCGAUGUGACUUGGAGUCGGGGUCCUGACAUAGGAGCAUGCGCGUAGUGCUUGGUUUUUGAUGACUUGUAGAUUUUUGUAAUAAGUAUGUGAGUUCUUUAUGACUAAUGUUGAGUCCAUGGAUUAUACGCACACUCACCCUUCCAUCAUUGCUAGCCUCUUCGGUACCAUGCAUUGCCCUUUCUCACAUUGAGAGUUGGUGCAAACUUCACCGGUGCAUCCAAACCCCGUGAUAUGAUACGCUCUUUCACACAUAAACCUCCUUAUAUCUUCCUCAAAAUAGCCACCAUACCUACCUAUUAUGGCAUUUCCAUAGCCAUUCCGAGAUAUAUUGCCAUGCAACUUUCCACCAUUCCGUUUAUCAUGACACAUUCAUCAUUGUCAUAUUGCUUGGCAUGAUCAUGUAGUUGACAUAGUAUUUGUGGCAAAGCCACCGUUCAUAAUUAUUUCAUACAUGUCACUCUUGGUUCAUUGCAUAUCCCGGUACACCGCCGGAGGCACUCAUAUAGAGUCAUAUCUUGUUCUAAGUAUCGAGUUGUAAUUCUUGAGUUGUAAGUAAAUAGAAGUGUGAUGACCAUCAUUAAUAGAGCAUUGUCCUAAAAAAAGAGAGAAAGGCCAAAUAAAAAAUAUAAAGAAGGGACAAUGCUACUAUCCUUUUUCCACACUUGUGCUUCAAAGUAGCACCAUGAUCUUUAUGAUAGAGAGUCUCUUGUUUUGUCACUUUCAUAUACUAGUGGGAAUUUUUCAUUAUAGAACUUGUCUUGUAUAUUCCAACAAUGGGCCUCCUCAAGUGCCCUAGGUCUUUGUGAGCAAGCAAGUUGGAUGCACACCCACUUAGUAUCUUUUGUUGAGCUUUCAUACAUUUAUAGCUCUAGUGCAUCCGUUGCAUGGCAAUCCCUACUCCUUGCAUUGACAUCAAUUGAUGGGCAUCUUCCUAGCCCAUUGAUUAGCCUCGUCGAUGUGAGACUUUCUCCUUUUUGUCUUCUCCACAUAACCCCCUCAUUAUAUUCUAUUCCACCCAUAGUGCUAUGUCCAUGGCUCGCGCUCAUGUAUUAUGUGAAGGUUUAUGAGUUCGAGAUUACUAAAGUAUGAAACAAUUGCUUGGCUUGUCAUCGGGGUUGUGCAUGAUGAGAGCAUUAUUGUGUGACGAAAAUGGAGCAUGACCAAACUAUAUGAUUUUGUAGGGAUGAACUUUCUUUGGCCAUGUUAUUUUGAGAAGACAUGAUUGCUUAGUUAGUAUGCUUGAAGUAUUAUUGUUUCUAUGUCAAUAUUAAACUUUUGUCUUGAAUCUUAUGGAUCUGAACAUUUAUGCCAAAAUAAAGAAGAAUUACUUAGAGAAAUAUGUUAGGUAGCAUUCCAUAUCAAAAAUUCCGUUUUUAUCAUUUACCUAGUCGAGGAUGAGCAGGAAUUAAGCUUGGGGAUGCUAAUACGUCUCCAAUGUAUCUAUAAUUUUUUAUUGUUCCAUGCUAUUAUAUUAUCAACCUUGGAUGUUUUAUAUGCCUUUAUAUGCUAUUUUAUGUGAUUUUUGGGACUAACCUAUUAACCUAGAGCCCAGUGCCAGUUUCUGUUUUUUCCUUGUUUUAGAGUAUGGCAGAAAAGGAAAAUCAAAUGGAGUCCAAUUGACCUGAAACUUCACGGAACUUAUUUUNNNNNNNNNNNNNNNNNNNNNNNNNNNNNNNNNNNNNNNNNNNNNNNNNNNNNNNNNNNNNNNNNNNNNNNNNNNNNNNNNNNNNNNNNNNNNNNNNNNNNNNNNNNNNNNNNNNNNNNNNNNNNNNNNNNNNNNNNNNNNNNNNNNNNNNNNNNNNNNNNNNNNNNNNNNNNNNNNNNNNNNNNNNNNNNNNNNNNNNNNNNNNNNNNNNNNNNNNNNNNNCCCCCCGGGCGCGCCCUCCACCCUCGUGGGCCCCUCGUGGCCCCCUGACGUACUUCUUCCGCCAAUAUAUCUCCAUAUACCCUAAAACGAUUGGGAAGCACAAUAGAUCGGGAGUUCCACCGCCAGAAGCCUCCGUAGCCACCGAAAGCCAAUCUAGACCCGUUCCGGCACCCUGCCGGAGGGGGCAUCCCUGUCCGGUGGCCAUCUUCAUCAUCCCGGUGCUCUCCAUGACGAGGAGGGAGUAGUUCUCCCUCAGGGCUGAGGGUAUGUACUAGUAGCUAUGUGUUUGAUCUCUCUCUCUUGUGUUCUUGAGGUGGUACGAUCUUGAUGUAUCGCGAGCUUUGCUAUUAUAGUUGGAUCUUAUGAUGUUUUCUCCCCCCCCCCUUCUACUCUCUUGUAAUGGAUUGAGUUUUCCCUUUGAAGUUAUCUAUUGGAUUGAGUCUUUAAGGAUUUGAGAACACUUGAUGUAUGUCUUGCGUGGGAUACCUGUGGUGACAAUGGGGUAUUCUAUUGAUCCACUUGAUUUAUGCUUUGGUGAUCAACUUGCGGGUUCCGCUCAUGAACCUAUGCAUAGGGGUUGGCACACGUUUUCAUCUUGACUCUCCGAUAGAAACUUUGGGGCACUCUUUGAGGUUCUAUGUGUUGGUUGAAUAGAUGAAUCUGAGAUUGUGUGAUGCAUAUCGUAUAAUAAUACCCAUGGAUACUUGAGGUGACAUUGGAGUAUCUAGGUGACAUUAGGGUUUUGGUUGAUUUGUGUCUUAAGGUGUUAUUCCAGUACGAACUCUAGGGCUGUUUGUGACACUUAUAGGAAUAGCCCAACGGAUUGAUUGGAAAGAAUAACUUUGAGGUGGUUUCGUACCCUACCAUAAUCUCUUCAUUUGUUCUCCGCUAUUAGUGACUUUGGAGUGACUCUUUGUUGCAUGUUGAGGGAUAGUUAUGUGAUCCAAUUAUGUUAUUAUUGUUGAGAGGACUUGCACUAGUGAAAGUAUGAACCCUAGGCCUUAUUUCCUAGCAUUGCAAUACUGUUUGUGCUCACUUUUAUCAUUAGUUACCUUGCUGUUUUUAUAUUUUCAGAUUACAAAAACCUUUAUCUACAAUCCAUAUUGCACUUGUAUCACCAUCUCUUCGCCGAAGUAGUGCACCUAUACAAUUUACCAUUGUAUUGGGUGUGUUGGGGACACAAGAGACUCUUUGUUAUUUGGUUGCAGGGUUGCUUGAGAGAGACCAUCUUCAUCCUACGCCUCCUACGGAUUGAUAAACCUUAGGUCAUCCACUUGAGGGAAAUUUGCUACUGUCCUAGAAACCUCUGCACUUGGAGGCCCGACAACGUCUACAAGAAGAAGGUUGUGUAGUAGACAUCAAGGACAAGCCUGGACAAGUUCUUAUAUAGAGAGAAGCUCUCCCGAGGACACAUGGGAAUAUCAUCAAGCUAGGUUUCAUCACGAUCAUAUGAUUCGCGUUCGGUACUUUGAUAAUUUGGUAUGUGGGUGGACCGGUGCUUGGUUACUGUCCUUACUUGGACAAGCACCCCACUUAUGAUUAACCUCUAUUGCAAGCAUCCGCAACUACAACAAAAGUAUUAAGGUAAACCUAACCAUAGCAUGAAAUAUAUGGAUCCAAAUCAGCCCCUUAUGAAGCAACGCAUAAACUAGGGUUUAAGCUUCUGUCACUCUAGCAACCCAUCAUCUACUUAUUACUUCCCAAUGCCUUCCUCUAGGCCCAAAUAAUGGUGAAGUGUCAUGUAGUCGAUGUUCACAUAACACCACUAGAGAAGAGACAACAUACAUCUCAUCAAAAUAUCGAACGAAUACCAAAUUCACAUGACUACUAAUAGCAAGACUUCUCCCAUGUCCUCAGGAACAAAUGUAACUACUCACAAAGCAUAUUCAUGUUCAUAAUCAGAGGAGUAUUAAUGUGCAUAUAGGAUCUGAACAUGUCAUCUUCCACCAAAUAAACCAACUAGCAUCAACUACAAGGAGUAAUUAACACUACUAGCAACCCACAUGUACCAAUCCCGGACUUAGAGACAAGAAUUGGAUACAAGAGAUGAACUAGGGUUUGAGAGGAGAUGGUGCUGGUGAAGAUGUUGAUGGAGAUUGACCCCCUCCAGAUGAGAGGAUCGUUGGUGAUGACGAUGGCGAUGAUUUUCCCCUCCCGGAGGGAAGUUUCCCCGGCAGAAUAGCUCCGCCGGAGCCCUAUAUUGGUUCCGCCAAGGUUCCGCCUCGUGGUGGCGGAAUCUCGUCCCGAAAGCUGGCUUAUGAUUUUUUUUCCUCAUCGAAAGACUCCAUAUAGCAGAAGAUGGGCAUCGGAGGGCUACCAGGGGGCCCACGAGGUAGGGGGCGCGCCCCCCACCCUCGUGGGCAGGGUGUGGCCCCUCUUCAGAACUUCUUGUGCUCAGUAUUUUUUAUAUAUUCUGAAAAUGACUUCCGUGAAGUUUCAGGACUUUUGGAGCUGUGCAGAAUAGGUCUCUAAUAUUUGCUCCUUUUCCAGCCCAGAAUCCUAACUGCCAGCAUUCUCCCUCUUUAUGUAAACCUUGUAAAAUAAGAGAAAAUAGGCAUAAAUAUUGUGACAUAAUAUGUAAUAACAGCCCAUAAUGCAAUAAAUAUUGAUAUAAAAGCAUGAUGCAAAAUGGACGCAUCAAUAAGCCUGCUGAAGCACCUCCAAAGCAUCGACGCCGGCGGCGCAGGGUCAAAAUCGCGUCGUGGCAAAGAUAGCAACACCGGCACCGGAGACGAUAACACUUUGGAGGAUGCCGAAGACCCCGAAGCCCCCGUCGAGCCCACAUCCGAGAAGGAUGAUGUGGAGGAGGGGCAGGUUAACAUAGACGAUCCGGUCGGGGACGAGGACUCGGAGGAUAGUAACUAUCUAACACUCUCGGAGGAUGAUGUCAGCCUCGGCAACAAAGACUUCAUCAUGCCAAAGGAACCCCUCGAGCAGGAGCGCUUUAAGCGCCAACUAAUCGCCACUGCGAGAAGCCUAAAAAAGCAGCACAACAGCUCCAGGCCGAACAUGAUACACUCAACGACAGAUGGACUCAGGUCCUAGCCGCCGAAGAAUAUGACCUUCAACACCCAACAAAGUGUUAUUCGAAGCGUCGGCUAUUACCACAAUUUGACGACGAGGCCGUUGAGCCCAUAUCAUCAAGACACGACCGUGCUGAUGAACCAGACCGGCCACCACGCAGGCGAGAUAAAGCGGCAACCUACGCCAAACACCAACCCGCACUGCCUCACCGCAAAGGCAAAGAGACAGUGUCUCCAGGAUACACCUACGACCUACGGUAGGACCUGGACAAUAGAGCAGGCCAAGCCAUAUCAAUCUAUGGUUCAGGGGGCGUGCCCUAACGUGAGAAGACGCCCAUCAGGCCUGGCGCGAUAGGCACAACUUCACACGGGCCGAAAACCGCAUACGGACAUCAUACGAACUCCGUCGAGACGUCGCCAGAUACGGAGGCGCCGCAAACCCCCUAUGCUUUACCGAUGAGGUAAUGGAGCAUCAGUUCCCAGAAGGGUUCAAACUCGUAAACAUCAAAUUAUACAACGGCACGACAGAUCCCGCGGUAUGGAUCGAAGAUUUCCUUCUCCAUAUCCACAUGGCCCACGGUGACGAUCUCCAUGCCAUCAAAUAUCUUCCCUUAAAACAGAAGGGGCCAGCAAGACAGUGGCUAAAUAGCCUCCCAGAGAACUCCAUUGGUAGUUGGGAGGACCUAGAAGAUGCCUUUAGAGACAACUUCCAAGGUACCUAUGUCCGGCCUCCGGACGCCGAUGACCUCAGUCAGAUAGUCCAGCAACCCGGAGAGUCAGCCCGGAAACUCUGGACCAGGUUCUUAAUUAAAAAGAACCAAAUUGUCGACUGUCCGGACGCCGAAGCCCUCGCGGCCUUUAAACACAGCAUCCGCGAUGAGUGGCUCGCCCGACACCUCGGCCAAGAAAAACCGAAGUCCAUAGCAGCCCUAACCGCCCUUAUGACACGCUUUUGCACGGGAGAAGAUAGCUGGCUCGUAUAAGCAACAGCAACAGCAACCCUGGCACCUCCGAAGCCCGAGAAGGCAACGACGGGCCACGACGCAACAAACACAAGCAUCGAAUCAACAACACAGGUACCGAAGACACGGCGGUCAACACCAGAUUCAGUGGUUCUAAACCCGGUCAGCAGAAGAAACCAUUCAAAGGAAACAAAGAUGGUCCAUCUAGCCUGGACCGAAUACUAGAUCGGCCCUGCCAGAUUCAUGGCACCCCUGACAAGCCUGCCAAUCAUAACAAUAGAGAUUGUUGGGUCUUCAAACAGGCCGGUAAGCUAAACACCGGGCAUAAGGGGAAAGGGCCACCUAGCGAGGACGGCGAUGAAGAGCCUCGUCCACCGAACACAGGGGGAUAGAAGAAAUCCCCCCCCCCUUGAGGUCAAAACGGUGAAUAUGAUAUACGUCACCCACAUCCCCAAUCGGGAGCGCAAGCGCGCAUUAAGGGACCUCUAUGCCAUAGAGCCAGUCAUCCCAAAAUUCAACCCCUGGUCAGCCUAUCCGAUCACUUUUGAUCGCAGAGACCAUCCGACCAGUAUCCAUCAUGGAGGUUUAGCAGCAUUGGUCCUCGACCCAAUUAUCGACGGAUUCCAUCUCAUGCGAGUCCUUAUGGACGGCGGCAGCAGUCUUAACCUGCUUUAUCAGGACACUGUCCACAAAAUGGAUAUUGAUCCAUCAAGAAUCAAGCCCACCAAAACCACCUUCAUAGGAGUGAUAACCGGUGUAGAGGCCCGCUGCACAGGGUCCAUAACGCUGAAGGUAGUCUUUGGCUCACCGUAUAAUUUCUGAAGCAAAGACUUGAUCUUCGACAUCGUCCCUUUCCGCAGUGGCUAUCAUGCACUACUCGGACGAACCGCGUUCGCCAACUUCAAUGUGGUCCCGCACUAUGCUUAUCUAAAGCUCAAGAUGCCUGGACCACGCGGCAUUAUAACAGUCAAUGGGAACAUGGAGCGCUCCCUCCGUACUGAGGAGCACACUGCGGCCCUCGCAGCUGAAGUACAGGGUGGCCUUAUCACGCCGAAUACUACAUUGGCAGUCAAGCCACCAGACACUGUCAAACGAGUUCGGUCUACCCUGCAGAAUGACAGUCCAGCCCAUCAAGAGCUACAUUAGCAAUUCAGCCUCCAUCACGGCCCCAACCGGAUUGCGGCAUAUGUAUUGCACGUACAUAACUACGCACUAAAGAUACCAUGGGCAAGGACGGAGGCAUAUUAAAGUCCACAAUACGGCUCGAUCCUACCUGGACCCUCAUAUCCUUCCUUUCUUUUUUCCUAUUUUUAUUUUUCCAGGUUCUUUACAACCCACAUCACUUUUCGAUCGUACCAAGGCCCCUUUUCCAGGCCCCUUAAGCGUACUCGAUUGUCCAUCCUCUCAAAGGAUCACACACCAAGGUGAAAAGCGGCGCAGACAUGCGACAAAGUAUCCAAAAGGAUCUUCAAGAUCACCUUUUCAUUUUUCAAGACCUGUAUACAUCUUUCCCUUGUUCUCGGCAUGUAAAAUAGCCUCGAGGCCUAUGGCAUUCUCUGUAAAAAUACGUCUUGACGUAUCAAUCAGACUAUAAUGAAAACAGUUUUUGCCCAACCUAUUCGGUCCUGGCUUAUCUCCUAAUCUGUAUUCCCUCUUUUCGUCUGAUUGUCAUAUACACCUCGGCACGACUUAAAUCGCCAGGGGCUCUACCCAGCCACACAUAUUUUUUUAAAGAAGUCUGAACACUUUUAUAGUACACUUCGGCGUCCCGAAUAUGGCAUUAUAUGCAUCGGCUUCGAAUCAUGUCUUUGGUCAAUGGUUGGGUUUCCUGGCUCAUGUGGUUACCACCUUACGUACGUUCUGCUUAUUCGGCUACGGUAGUAAAGGGAGAACUAUUGCGAUUGUGUUUCUGGUUUGCCCGGUUAAACACCUCAGUAGAGAAAGCCAAAAACUGACUGGCAUGGUACAGCAAGAGCUGCUCAGCUAUUUGGUGACUAAGUACAAAUCUUUUGCGAUUUCUUUCCAUAUUAUACGAAGGACGGGCUUCUACCCGGUCAGGUGUCUAAAGCACCUAAGUUCAUAUAACUGAAUAACACUAGGGGCUACGCCUAUAAUCUCAUUGUCAAACUCCUAUGGCUAAGUGAACGUGAUAAAGCCCCAUAGUCUGAUUGCCUGGUUCGCCGCACUGACACCUUCUUCAAGGACCAAUACGUUGGGUUAAGUGUGCUCAUGUGCUAUUUCGAACACCCCCCUAGUAUCUACGUGGGGGCUGAAGCCGACGAGUGGUAAAUUUUCAGAUACAGCAAACGGCCGCAUAGGAGGAAAAUAAUCUGAGAUAAAAACAAGAAAACAUAUUAUACAAAAGUCUUGUUUCAUAAUACAAAGUUUGGGCAGCCCGGAUACAUUCAUUCAAAAAUAAUAUCCUUCGAACACUGGCCCUCUACAAUGCGGGAUCCUUCCAGGACUUCAUCAAAAUACCGCUCCAGCGUGCGGUGCUCCUUACCUGCGAGUGGUCCCUCGGUUGCAAGCUUGGUGGCAUUCAUCUUCCCCCACUGCACCUUGACACGGGCGAAGGCCAUCCGGGAACCUUCGAUACAGACCGACCGCUUUAUGGUGUCAAGCCGGGGGCAGGCAUUGACUAGCCGCUUCACAAGUCCGAAGUAGCUACUGGGUAUGGGCUCGGCCGGCCAAAGACGGACUAUAACAACCUUCAUGGCCAAUCCGGCCAUCCUAUGCAGUUCGGUCAACUGCUUCAGCUGAUCACUGAGGGGCACUGGAUGCUUUGGCGCAAGGUAAUGCGACCAUAACAGCUUCUUCGUUGAACUCCCCUCUUCGGCUCGGAAGAACUCCGCGGCAUCAGCAACACUCCGCGGCAGAUCCGCAAACGCACUUGGAGAACUCCAAACCCGGGUCAGUAAGAUGUAUCUUCUCCUUACAAAUUUGCUCUGCAUAUUAAAGGCCUUACGUGCCGCUAUCUGUCACGCCUCUUGGAUCUCCCGGCAGGCGCCUUGGGAUUCAACCUGGGCCUCCUUCGCGCUUUGGAGGGCCUUAGCAAGUUCGGAGUCUUGAUCCGAAAACCCUACGCUCUAAGGACUAACAUUUGCUUAUGGCAUCCUUGAGCUCUUGUUGGACUUCAUCCAACCUCGCUUCAUGUUUUUGGCGGGCGGCUCGUUCCUCCUCCGCCUCCUUUUUUGCUACAACCAGUGAGCUCUUGAGGGAUUCGACCUCAGAUGCAUUCACUAUGAGUAUAACCAUGAAACUCAGCAAGAUAACCAAUCAGAGCUCAUAUCAUUUCGGGUAUGUAUAAGUACCUCAUACCUUGCUCUUCCUCAAACCGCUUAUUGGUGCGGCUGAGCUCCUCGUCGGCCCGCUCCAACCUCUGCUUAGGUUCGGACAAUUCGGCAGCCUGUGCGGUUGCCGCUAAUAGCGAAGCCUGUUUAUCAAAAUAGACAUGUAUGUUAUCUCCUACGAAUACUAAUCGAUCCUCUGUUCGGCCCUUCUUUGCAAAAGCCGAACAGAGUCUUAGGGGCUACUAUUUAUACACAGGCAUAUUUUUUGCAUAUGCAAAGCAGUUAAAAAAUAUUACUUCACAUACCUCGAAGCCUGUUAGUAGGCUGGUAUAGGCUUCAUUCGAUCUAUUUUUAGCGGACCGAACCUUCUCAACCACCGUACCCAUAAGGGUACGGUGUUCCUCCACAAUGGAAGCGCGCUGAAGCGCUUCCAUCAGAAUGUCCGGCGCCUCUGGAUUGACAGAGGUCACCGGUGGAGUCAACGCGCCCCCUUCUUUCAAAGGAGGCUGCUCGCUUGAUUCCGGAGCCGAGCGGAUCUCCGAAAUGAUAUUCGGUUGGGGGCCGAAUUGGGCAUGGCCCCCGUCACCAGUCUCCAUGGGGGUCAGUUCCCCCAUGUUUUCAGCAGCUGAGGUAUUACCCUCUAGCGCCAUCUUGACGGCCUCCCGCACCUCUCCAUGGCCUGGAGAGGUUCUUUGGGACAACACUUCAGUGUUGUCCGUGGCAGUGGGCGGGGAGGCCUGCGGAGGCAUCUCGCUCUCCAUCAUAUUCGGCCCCAGCGAAUUCCCAGAAGAUGAUGAUCAUUGGGGGAGAUCACGAGCUGGACUAUAGCACGCAAUUCAAUGUGUUAAAACCUCAAAGUAUAAAACCGGAUAUAUGUGCAGUGUCCUUAGAUACUUACGAUUCGGCCAAGGGCUUCGGCCUGGGGCACCACUCGAGGAUGGCUUCGGCGUCCGAAUCUGAAUCGUCCGAAAGGGAGAUCUUCCCCUUCUUGGACGCCUCCGCCUCUAGGUCCAUGGAAGCCGCACUUUUCUUCUUUCCCCCCUUAAGGGGAGAAUUUCUCUCCUCCUCAUCUUCAUCUUCAUUCCCCUCGUGGGAGGAGAGAGCUUCGGUAUCCCCGAAUGCAGCGUCCGAAGUACCUUUUCGGCAAAGGAUGCCUCUGACCCCCUUGCCCUUCUUCUUGGCCUUCUUCUCCGGCACCUGGUACGGCGCCGGGACCAGCAUCUUCGUCAAAAGAGGAGUGGCUGGGUCUUCGGGCAGCGGAGCCGGACAUUGGAUCCGCUCUGCCUUCUUUGUCCAGCCCUGAAGGAAGAAUGGAAGGCUCAGCAUACCCCUUUGGGUUUACAAGUUGAAGUUAUGAUUCAGAAAUCCGAAAACUUACUGGAGUGGCUGGAUGAGCACAGUCGAGGCCGAUGUCUUUGGUCGGCUCUGGCCACGACUUCUGGGCCUUGAAAAGCAGCUUCCAGAUCUCUUUGUGCAUCGUGACGAAAAAUCACUGCAGGGUCCGGUGGCUAGCCGGAUUGAACUCCCACAUGUGGAGAGUUAGGCGCUGGUAGUGGAUAAUCUGACAAAAAAGCAUCACCUGGAUCACAUCAGCAAGGCUUCUCCAUUAUAUUUUUGAUGUGCUUCUGUAGCAUCAUCACCUCAUCGGACGACGCCCAAUCCAGACCCUUGUUUAUCCAUGAUGCAAGCCGCAUCGGGGGUCCGGAUCUGAACUCAGGAGCGCCCGCCCAGUUGGCGCCGCGGGGUUCGGUGAUGUAGAACCACUCCUGUUGCCAUAUCUUGACGGUCUCCAUGAAGGCCCCUUUUGGCCAGGUGACGUUCGGGAGCUUUCUCACCAUGGCGCCUCCACAGUCUGCGUGCUCUCCGUCAACCACCUUCGGCUUCACAUUGAAGACCUUAAGCCAUAGGCCGAAGUGGGGGUAAUGCGGAGGAAGAAAUUUGGGGCUAGAUCGUGGAAAUCUAGCCCAUAAUAGAACAUGAGGCUGCGGACGAAAGGGUGGAGAGGAAACCCUAGUCCGUGGAGAAAGUGCGGGAUGAACACUACCCUCUUGUUAGGUUCCGGAGUGGGGACGAUCUGCUUUUUAGCAGGGAGCCGGUGGGUGAUGUCCGCGGCUAAGUACCCCGCUUCCCAGAGUUCCUUGACGUUCCUCUCCGUGACGGAGGAAGCCGUCCACUUGCCCUGUGAGCCGGAUCCGGACAUGGUUGGAGUGUUUGGUGGUGACGGAAAAGAUCGAAACUUGGGCGCUGGAGCUCGAGGAUGGAAGGGCGGAAGAGGAAGAAGGCGUCAAGUAAAAAGAUGGGUCAUUAUCCUCUUAUAAAGGCAGUGAAUAUCAAGCGCCCCCUCACGAGCCUUAAAACUUGCCUAUUCCCAAGGGGUCGUGCAAACGGCAUGGUUGGAUUACCCAAACCCGUAUUGAUGAGAAUCCCGCAAUAAGGGGACACGAUCUCUGCUUCGACAAGACGUGUCAAUGAAGACCGCGCCUCGAAACGCGAAGCGGGGGGCUAAAAACGGUUCGAAAUAAUAAUAAGGCCAGAACAUAACGUCUCGCCGAAAAAGCUGUCAGUAGACAUGACUUAUUUCGUUUAAGUAUUUUACCCUUGUGGUUCAGGGUUGUAACUAUUGUACAGAACCGGAUAUAGUUCUUCUGUUCAGCUGCUUUGGAGUAUUCAGAAGAGGAACCCGCCUUGCAAUGCCGAAGACAAUCUGCGCGCCGGACACAUCGUCAUUGAAGCCUGGUUCAGGGGCUACUGAGGGAGUCCUGGAUUAGGGGGUCCCCAGGCAUCCGGGCUAUGUGACAUGAGCCGGACUGAUGGGCCAUGAAGAUACAAGAUAGAAGGCCUUCCCCCGUGUCCGGAUGGGACUCUCCUUUGCGUGGAUGGCAAGCUUCGGCGUUCGGAUAUGAAGUCUCAUUUCUCUGUAAACCGACUCUGUACAACCCAAAGCCCCUCUGGUGUCUAUAUAAACCAGAGGGUUUAGUCUGUAGAGGCAAUCAUAAUCAUACAGGUUAGACAUUUAGGGUUUAGCCAUUACGAUCUCGAGGUAGAUCAACUCUUGUAACCCCUAUGCUCAUCAAAGUCAAUCAAGCAGGAAGUAAGGUAUUACCUCCAUUAAGAGGGCCCGAAUCUGGGUAAACAUCGUGUCCCCUGCCUCCUGUUACCUUCGAUCCUCAGACGCACAGUUCGGGACCCCCUAUCCGAGAUCGGUCGGUUUUGACACCGACACUUUGGUCUUCCAAAUACUAAAAAGACCAAAGUAUUUUCCUUGAAUGCUCAUUCGGGAUAGGCUCAACACUAGAGAAAGGCUUCCAAGGAAUAACUGUAUUGCCCUGGAUAACGAUUGGUGUAUCCUGUGCUACAACAAUGAUGUUGAAAAACAGGAUCAUCUCAUCAUCUUAUAUUUUUCAGUCAAAGACGCUCGAGGAAAACCUCCUUCAACUCGGGAAUAACAAUGAAUUUGCAGACUCUGUCCACUUUGCUAGAGCCAUCUUUGCUAGUCUGCUCGUCGUCGAAAUUUUCAUCAUCGUAGCUUGGUGUAUUUAGUAAGAGAGAAAUGCCAAAUCUUUGACAACCUCAGCCCUAGUAUUGAUUAUAGGUUUCACCUUUUCUUUUGAAGGAAAUGUCACCUACUUUCCUUUAGACUAAAAGUUGACAAAGCUAAUGCUCUUAGAACAUGUCUUAGUUCUAGCCCCUUGUAUGAGAAUAUCCGGUGGAAACCACAUGGAAAUUAUGUUUUGAAGUUAUGGAAAAUUCUGAAGAAAAUACAAUGUAUCUCAGAGAGAUGGUGUUCUAUACACAUGUAAAAAUUCGAGUUAAAACACAAAUUCAUUUAUGUGGUACGAAAAGACGGUUCAGCAAAUAUAGUACCAAAUAAUAAAUGCCACUAUUCGUUGUUGAAUUUGUUUUUUUUCUUUUGUAUGUCUUUUACAGCUUUUGUAUACCCCCUUGGGUAUACACCCACUUCCUGCUCUUGUAAUAGUAUUUCCUUUAAUAAAAAAUAUUGUCAGGGCCUUCCCUACAGUUUUCCAGUCAAAUAAGAAACACUACUAGAUACGCAUAUUUUGCUGCAAUUUUUGUUAACAAAUCAACUCGCUUUUUUAUAUACAACACAACACACAACUGUGGAAGUAUUCAAAAGAGUGCAAGUGCGCCUUCCUUUCCGUUAGGUGUAUGCAAGCCUUUCUUGUCAACGGAUCAGUAAUAUUUUUGUGGAUUUUGAGACUGGUGAUUAAUAAACUCCCUACCUACCCACUUAACCAGCCCUCAUGCAAGCUUCAGCUGAUCAGACUGGUGUACGCGUGUAUUUUGUGGAUUUUAAGACUGGUGUAUUCUAAUUUGGUUUCUCUCUACAUGACUUGGACCCAGUCUAGUCAAGUCUGGUUGCAGAUGCAGCUUCCUUGAAACUUCCUCAAAUACAUUUUGUCAUAGGAAUCUUAAGCUGUCCAGUUACCUUACGUACACGUGUAACUUUUUUCAUGAUAUUAUUUACACAUUUAAAACAAUACUUCCUCCAUCCCAUAAUAUAAGAGCGUUUUUGACACAAAACGCAAAACGCUCUUAUAUUACGAGAUGGAGGGAGUAUCAUUUUGUGCAUUUCCGAUUUGAAUCGCCGUUCCCCGCCGUUCGUCAUCCAUUUGUCCAUUUAGUAGGAAGUGGUUCACCUAAUGUGGAGGUUCAGCGUCCAAAAGCACAAGACAGUAUGUAUGACCUCUUCUUCUUCAGUAGUGCACACAUGACAUGGCCACAUGUUUUUUAAUCAGGCAGUAAUGAGGUCAAUGGUAAACGUGGACUUUGCUCAGUCUUCGCCACUACCAAAUCCAGCUUAAUUUUGAUAUCUUCUUCUUUAUCAUUUAUCAUAGAUGUCUUGGCAAACAAGCAAGCUACACAUGCAUGCUUUCAUAUCUGUACCACACUGGAGUACUUUAUUAGUACAGUUUUUUACGGGACUUUAUUAGUACAGUUAAUUAAUCAUGGCUGUGACAUUUUGUCUUCCUAUUGUGGUGCCGUUGAUGAAUCUUUUAGGGCAUCUCGAAGGUGGACCCUCGAACCUUCGGUAAGACCUGAGCUAUCCGGACGUAGUUUGUCAUAUAAGACGGUCCCGCAUCGGUCUGGAGUUCGAUUUGGAUGUCCGUUUUCCCACAAAUCAUAACCAAGACAAGAGGCUUUGCAGGAGUCUGGACAUCCACAUGACGAACCAAAAGCCACCACCUAUUCUCUCUCUGUUCGGAUGGAGGAAGACCUCUUCUAUUUUUAUUUUUUAUUUUUUGUUUUUGCUCUUUGACGGAAGGUUGCUAGCAUUUGGUGAAAGCACUAUUAUUUCACUUUUUUUCUCAAGUGCUACACUUUUUCUUUCUUUCUUAAGUGCUCACAAUGGCGAAGGCUGAUCACAAUUGCGGAAGGCCUUUAGUGGAAGGCACUAGAAUUUUGAAGUCACGGUAGCGGAAAGCACUAUUGUUACAUUUUUAUUUCAAGUGCUAUACUUUCUUUUCUUUUUUUCAAGUUCUCAUACUAGUCUGAGCGAUAUAAUUUUUUUUUUCAAAUUUGUUAUCAAAUGGAUCCCAGCAAGGUUGGAUGGCCGGCUCCCAUAUCAAUGUCCGGACAGGGUCAUGCUGGAGAUGCCCUUAUCAUCUCCAGUUGGAGUAUGUCUCCAAACGCAAACCUCAAAUGAACAUCAUCAUCUGUCCACGGAUACGCUGGAUGUGUCCGCGGACAACUGAGCGGACGCCGGUCAUCCAAGACUAUCAUCUAAAAAUCCCCUACUUAUUCGCCCCUCCUUCACCUCUUUCUUUCCACUAAGUCAAAUUGCUUCGAUGCUCAACAUUCAAUAGAAAAUCAACCAUACAUGUAACACUUGCAAACAAAAGUAACCAAAAUCAUAAGCACAUGAUGUUCAACAAGGUCCAUAAUUCGGGUCCACCAAGAAAGCAACUAAACAAAAUGAAUCAUUGCCCACCGCCAUUUCCAUAACAUGCAAUGAUGUCUAGUGGCGAAGCCAUGUUUAAGCUAUGUAGUCAAAUGACUACACAGCUUUGUGGAAAAAUUAUCAUAUAUAAGGUAAAAAAUAAUACAAAAUUUGUAGAAAUACAUAUAUCUUGGCUACACAAAAUUGUGUGGACUACCCAUGAGUAAAAUCCUGGCACCGCCACUGAUGAUGUCUAUGCAAUUGAUGAAUCCACCCCACCGCAUAGGCAUGUACAGUCACCGGUCUUCAUCGUACAUGAAACUUGGACUUCACACAUUUGUUAAGUGCAAUUAGCUUCUUCUCCUCUAGGUCAAACUUCUUUUCUUGCAUUGGCAUGAACUCUAUAAACCUCUCCUCCUUGAGCCUCCUUCUUGCCCAUGAUGUCAUCCCACUUCUUCGACAAUUUGGCUGCCACCCCAUUGCGCUCUUCCUGAUCAUGCUCCAACUUUUCCCUCUCGACCUCGACACAUGGGUGGCCGGUGCAAGCCCUCCUCUAGCUCCACUGCCAUUGAACUUGAUCCAACAAUAAUGCAUCAUGGAUGGAUGCCCUAGUUCUUCUUGUACAGAAUCAUCGUGAGGUUGGGUUAGGAAAAUGAAAACAAUCACAUGAUCAAAACAUUGCAACAUAGAGCAAGAGAAUGCGCAUGCACACAACACAUAAAGCAAAUGAAACAAAUCUUGCAAGACCGUCGAGUCCCAUGCCACUUGGUGCCUGAUUUUGUAUUAAUUUGUGCAUAAGCACCACAUAAUUCUUGGCGGGUUAUUGAAUGGCAUACUACCGUUGGUUGAGUGACCUGUCAUUCCAUUCAAGAAUCAUUUCCGCAUUAUACGUCGAGUAGUCCUUGUUGUCAUGAAAAAACCUCGUGCGCCCUCCUCCGAAAUGUCGCUCCAUUUGCUUCACACCGGCAAACGGGUCAAUGCUUGUGCCCGACUAAGCCAAGCACAACAACUCGUCCUCCUUGUCGAGUAGGUGCCUCCUAUCUUUUUAUUUGAUCACACAUCGGCCGUCGGCGAGUAUUGAUCCUCCACUCCUCCAAAUUCUCCACAUUCGGCACCGAGACGGUGUACGCGGGCGAUGGCGAUGGUGACACAUCGAAGAUGUUGAUUGUCGGGUCGGAGAGAUCCUUUGCGCCAACAUUGAGGUUGGACAUGUGAAGAAAGGGGGUGUGUGAAAAAUGAAGGGGUCCGGGAGGGUGUUUUCGAUGAUCCUGUUAAAGUCGGGCAUGAUAGAUGUCGGAUUCCCCAACUCCGCUCCUCGAUUCGGGACCGGGCGGGAGGAUUCUCUACGUUCGGAUGUGUCCACCCCAAAGGAAGGAUCCGCGUUGAAUCUAGUCCAAAAAUUUGAGGCCGGAGUAAGCACCUGCAUUGGAGAUGUCAUAAUCAUUCGGUGCAUCCCUCUUGCUUGGAAUUUUGGAAUCCAUAUGAAAUCGACUGAUUAGGUAAAACAGAAUGUAUGUAUCUGCAGAUAUCAUGUGUCCAAAUCAAAAUCGGAUUCUUGCCGAUUUGGCCAUAAAUGGUUAUAUCUAUAUCUAUCUAUACUAAUAUAAAAAGAUUUAAAUGUGCAUAUCCAACUAAUCUAGACCAUCGAACUAAGUCAAUCCAACGACCUAUACUGCUCCAAUGGCGAGCGUUAACGUGCAAUUAAUAUCAUAUCAAAUAUUACAUUAAUCACAAAAUUAACACAUAAAUAAUAGCAUAUUUAAUAUUCAUGUGCAAUUAAUAUAUUUUCUAAAUAUUAAUGUGCGUUACACAUGUGCAUUUACUAAUACUAGAUAUGAAAAGGUCCGAAUUUUGGAGUGCCACCAACAAACCCAGUCACAAUCAGUAAUUUACCCACCCCACGGGCUAUAAAUCUCUUUCAAAUUUUGUGAUCUAGUGUCCGGCCUGCAGCUACAAAGCAAACCUGCAACGACGGACCAAAUCUUUUCUUAUCCCCAAUCCACCAUCACCAUGCCGUCGCGGUCGCCGUCCCCGAUGGUGCGCGUCGUCUCGUCGUCCACGGUGAAGCCGCCGCCGCGGCCGAGGGAGCGCAUCCCGCUCACCUCCUGGGACGCCUCCAUGCUCUCCUCCAACUACAUCCAGAAGGGCCUCCUCUUCCACAGGCCCACCUCCUCGGCGUUCAACGCCGCCGACCACCUCGCCGCGGUACUCGGCGACGCGCUCGCCCACUACUACCCCAUCGCCGGCCGCUUCGCCACGGAGCAGCACAGGGAUGACGCCGGGAACGUCGUGGGGUGCUCCGUCCACGUCGACUGCGCCGGCCAGGGCGUGGAGGUCGUGCACGCCGUGGCCGACGGGGUGACCAUGGCGGACGUGCUCCCCCGCGACGCCGACGUGCCGCGCGGCGUGCUGGCGCAGUUCUUCCAGCUCACCGACGCCGUCAACUACGGCGGCCAGGAGCAGCCGCUGUUCGCCGUCCAGGUCACCGACCUCGCCGACGGGGUCUUCGUCGGCUUCGCCUACAACCACGCGCUCUCCGACGGCACCGCCUUCUGGGACUUCGUCAACUACUGGGCCGCCCUCGCGCGCACCAGGCUCGGCCUCGCCGCAGCGCCCCCGGCGCCGAAGCCCUCGUUCGAGCGCUGGUCGCCCGACGGCGGCCCGGCGGGGCCAGCGGUGCUGCCGUGCGCCGACGUGUCCGAGCUCAUCGAGCGGGCGCCCCCGCUGCAGCUGCACGAACGGAUGCUGCACUUCUCGGCCGACUCGCUGGCAGCUCUCAAGGAGCGGGCGCGUGAGGAGCUCCUGGCCGCCGGCGACACGGCGGGCGCGGCCGCACUAACCAAGUUCCAGGCGCUGUCGUCCCUCCUCUGGCGCUGCAUCACCCGCGCGCGGCGGAUGGCGCCGGAGCAGGAGACGACGUGCCGCGCGGCCAUCAACAACCGCGGGCGCCUCCGGCCGCAGCUCCCGCAGGACUACUUCGGCAACACCAUCUACGCCAUCGGCACCGACUCAACGCGCGCCGCGGACCUGCUCGACCGCGGGCACGGCUGGGCGGCGGCGGCCGUGGGGCGGGCCGUGGCGGCGCACACGGACGCGUCCAUCAGGGCGCGCGUGGCGGCGUGGACCGCCAAGCCCAUGGUGUACACGCACCGCUUCUUCGACCCGACAGGCACCAUGAUGGGGAGCUCGCCGCGGUUCGACAUGUACGGCUGCGACUUCGGAUGGGGGAGCCCCGUGGCGGCGCGCAGUGGCAUGGCCAACAAGUUCGACGGCAAGACGUCGUUGUACCCCGGCCACGAGGGCGGCGGUAGCAUCGAUGCCGAGCUCACGUUGUCGCUAGAGAACAUGGCCGCGCUCGAGGAGGACGUGGAGUUCUGGGCCGCCGUGUCCCCGGACACACCCGUGCCGGCGCCGGUGCCGGAGAAGAAGCCCACUUGAAUCUUCUAUGCAUGUCAACACUCUGCUCUGAUACUGCUUGCCAAUUUUCCUCUUUUUUUAUGUUUGCUUGACACAACAGUAACAUGUUCUAAUUCUUGGCUUUGAAUGACAACAAGUGAAAAUUAAAGAAAUGUUGAGUAUUAUAAUUUUCUCUCUGAUACAAACAAGAAAAAAAGAAUGAUAUUUGGGACAUGUAGUCAAACCUACAUUUAUGUGAGCAACCCACUAAUGCUUAUAUUGCUAAUCAAUAGGCUUAAUGCACAUGAGACUGGGAUCUAGCUAGGGGAAUAAGAUGAACACAAAAGAACUAAUUUCAGAGAGGGGAAACUAGAUACUGAAAUUGGGGACACAAGAGAUUGAUCCUUCUCAUGCAGCUGAAUCUAUAGAGUUUAGAUUCGAUGGAAAUUGAAUUGUCUUUUUUUUAACAUCAGUGUAGACACAAGCGCUCAUAUACAUGCGUAUACACCCACCCCUAUAAAUGCACACCCUAUCUCUAUGAGCACUUCCGAGACUUGAAACCUGAUGGACCUACGUGCCUCGUUUAUCGGGCUUCCCCUAUAACCUCAUGUAUAUGUUGUACCUCUUGUAACCGAAGCAACACUGAGAAGUGAAUUCCAUGGUUCAACUUGGUAUCAAGACUCCAGGCUAUUGCCAUGUCGGUCCAACAGUCCUCCUCCUCUGUGGUGAUCCGCUCCGCCACCUUCCCGGCCUCCUUGUCCUUGACAACCCCCGCCUCCGGCGCCUCUGUCCGCCAUCGUGGGCACCUUCUCUGCCACUGCCGUCGGCACCCCUCACCGUGCUUCAUCUUUGGAACUAAACCCUCUCUCCUCAAUGGAACAAACCCAACCCACAACACUCAGUUUGCCCCUCUUUUCUCCUCCGCUGCCACCGCCACCACCAGCGCCACCCUCUGCCAUGCCGCUUCUCAACGGGCUUAGAGAGUCGUCACGUUUGUCAUGCCACUUCUCAACUCGCUUGACCUUGUCCUUGCGGGGGAUGUACACACACCUGACCUUGUGCCCCUUCCGCGCCUCUGUCAAGGUCAACCACAGUCAACCAACCCUCCCCCCUCCCCCCUUCUCUGUUGUCCCCAACUAAGAUGAACAUGCGGUCGCCUCCUGCAUGAAGGCUAAGUCAUGGUGGACCCCGACGUGCGUGGGUGUACCCCGUUGUUGCGGAAACGAGGGCCGACAACGACGCGUCAACGUCGUGGUCACAUACGUCACCACCAGAGAUGUUAUGGAGCCUAACUAUUAUACACUCCAUCUCUCUCUUUUCUCACCGUCGCAUGGGUGUUUGCCUGACAACUAUACUGCUCUGAAGCCACCUACUUUCUUCCCAAGUCGAGAGACAUAGAUGAGCUAGGUUUUUUUAGAACUCAUAGAUUUUUUUAGGGGUCUUGAGAACUCAUAGAUGAGCUAGCUAUUUAACACCUGCAAGCCACCGGAGAAGGUUGUGUGUGAGUGGGCCGAGAAGUAGGCCCACAAGUUAAAGUCUUUCUUUGGCCCAUUGUUGACACUCUUCAAGGGGAGAUCCUAUACGGUGCGUGCCGCACUGGGGCAUGCAACGCGCCCCCCUUGCUCCCCCAACGUGACCUUUUGGGGCGGCACAUGAGCGGGGCGCUCUGUUUUUUAAUAUAUAUUUUUCAUUUUUCAUUUUCUUAUUUUAAAUAAUUUGAGAUUUCAAAAUGUUUGGAAAUUUAAAAAUGUCCUAUUUAAAAAAAUGUUAAGGCAUUGAUAAAUUGUUCAUGGACUGAAAACAUGUCCAUGAUUUUACAAAGAAUGUUCGCAUAUUCUGAAAAUGUUGGCGGAUUAAAAAAAACAUGAUUUUACAAAAAGUGUUCGCAUAUUCAAAAAGUAUUCAUGAUUUUGAAAAAAUGUUUGUGUACUCAAAACAAAUUAUGAAAAUGAAAAAAUGUUUGCAAAUUCAAUUUUUUCAUGAAUUGUUUUCAAAAUGCUUACAAUAUUAAAAAAAUUGUUCAUGAAUUACCAAAAAAAACUUUGAUUCCAAAAAUGCUUGCUGAUUCAAAAAAUCUUCACAUAUUCGAAGAAUGUUUAUAAAAAAAAGUUCACAGAUUUUCAAAAAAGUUCAUCAAACUUUAGAAAAAGUUCACCUAUUUGGAAAAAAAGUUCAUAAAUUUUUUUAAAAAUAUUAUCGAUUUUGAAAAAAACAUCUACUUUCAAGGAAAAUGUUCAUGAAUUUGGAAAUAAGUUCAUCGAUUUUGAAAAAGUUCAUCUACUUUCGAGGAAAAAAUCACUAAUUUCUUUCGCAAAAAAAAUUGAAUUUGAAAAAAAAGGAAGAAAAACGAACAGAGAAAAAAGAAGGUGGGCGAAUCGAUUGCUGCAUCUGGGGAUUUGGUUUUGGUGGAUCCAUCCAUGGGGCGGGGCAACCUUUGGAUUUCUAUUUGAUUUCUUGGAUUUCUUGGAUUUCUUGCCUGGAGCUUAGAGCCUUAAUUAGAUUAUUAUUACAGUCUCAUCUGGUACUGAUAUGGUUAAGGCCGAUGAUAUAAACAUGCUCGUCCAUUGCUGCCAAUUCUGAUAAUUGUCUCCCAACUCAAUAAUCGUUUGCCACAACUUGUGGUAACCCUUGUUAAGAUUUUGAUUAACAGUGCAUUACCAUUCUGCAGCCUUUUCAAUUCUUUGACAUCAUACGUGUAAAUACAUAAGUUCCAGCAAAACAUUGGUACUGUUCCAGCAAAAAUGACAUGUUCAUGACAAAAACAUUCUUCUGCUUCCAGCAGAAAAUUACAUGCUUCCAGCAAAAACGUGAUGUGGUUCCAAACUGCAGUCGCCGCUCUGGUAUUUUAGGGACUCAGAGAGAGAAAGAGAACGGCAAUGGGGAUGAGCUGGAUUAGAUACUCGCGGGGGUCAGGGUGGGGAUAAGGUUUGUGUGGCCAACCUUGCUGCAUUGGCCAAACGGUCACGUGGGCGAGUUGCAUUAUAACCGUACGAUGGUGUUUAAUCCUUACUGCAUUGGCCAAACGGUCACGUGGGCGAGUUGCAUUAUAACCGUACGAUGGUGUUUAAUCCCAUGCACGCGGCGCAGCGGUUCGGCCGGCGGGCUGGCACCAAACGUUUUCCAUAAAAAAAAAUCUCUAACUUAAGGGAAACCAAUUGAUUUCCUCAUUUUUUUGACAAUUAAUUGAUUUCCUUUUAAUUGUAUAGUAAGAGACUCGAAAGUGGAGACCUCGGCUGCAACCAAACCCUCGCGAUGUCCGGCGGUCGAUGCGGCGGCGGGCCUCCCGGCAACGGCAACAACCCCGGUGAGACCCCCCCCCCCUCCCUCCCUCCCUUGCCGCGGUGUGGAGAUACCCCCGUGCUUUCGGGAUCCGUGCGGUGCGCAUUGGAUGGCGCAUCUGCUGAUUUGGUUUUCCUAGAUCCAUCCAUGGGGCGGGCCGAGUGAUUCCUGAAUUACCUCCCUCCCUCCCUNNNNNNNNNNNNNNNNNNNNNNNNNNNNNNNNNNNNNNNNNNNNNNNNNNNNNNNNNNNNNNNNNNNNNNNNNNNNNNNNNNNNNNNNNNNNNNNNNNNNNNNNNNNNNNNNNNNNNNNNNNNNNNNNNNNNNNNNNNNNNNNNNNNNNNNNNNNNNNNNNNNNNNNNNNNNNNNNNNNNNNNNNNNNNNNNNNNNNNNNNNNNNNNNNNNNNNNNNNNNNNNNNNNNNNNNNNNNNNNNNNNNNNNNNNNNNNNNNNNNNNNNNNNNNNNNNNNNNNNNNNNNNNNNNNNNNNNNNNNNNNNNNNNNNNNNNNNNNNNNNNNNNNNNNNNNNNNNNNNNNNNNNNNNNNNNNNNNNNNNNNNNNNNNNNNNNNNNNNNNNNNNNNNNNNNNNNNNNNNNNNNNNNNNNNNNNNNNNNNNNNNNNNNNNNNNNNNNNNNNNNNNNNNNNNNNNNNNNNNNNNNNNNNNNNNNNNNNNNNNNNNNNNNNNNNNNNNNNNNNNNNNNNNNNNNNNNNNNNNNNNNNNNNNNNNNNNNNNNNNNNNNNNNNNNNNNNNNNNNNNNNNNNNNNNNNNNNNNNNNNNNNNNNNNNNNCGCGGUGCGCGUUGGAUGGUGCAUCUGCUGAUUUAGUUUUCCUCGAUCCAUCCAUGGGGUGGGCCGAGUGAUUCCUGAAUUACCUCCCUCCCUCCCUUGCCGCGGUGUGGAGAUGCCCCCGUGCUUUGAGGAUCCGUGCGGUGCGCGUUGGAUGGCGCAUCUGCUGAUUUGGUUUUCCUAGAUCCAUCCAUGGGGCGGGCCGAGUGAUUCAUGAAUUAGGCAUGGUGAUUAUUAUUAUUAUUAUUGUUAGGUUUGGGUUUGUUUGUUUUGAAAUAACUGGGGAUUCAGUUACUAGUUCCGUGAGCUUAGAGCUUAGAUUACAGAGUCCACCUUUGGGUUUCUAUUUGAUUUGAUUUGAUUUCUUGGAUUUCUUGUUUGACUUGCUUGGAGCCUAGAUUAAUUACACAGUCCAAGUAUGAACUAAUCUCAUCUCAUACGUACGGUUAUUCUUAACGUUACCUACCAUGCUAAAUUCUGUAACAUGCUCGUCCAUUGCCGAUUCACGAAUCCUUUGCCAAUUGUGAUAAUUGUCUCCCAACUCAAUAAUCAUUUGCCACAACUUGUGAUGACCCUUCUUAAGGCUUUGAUUAACAGCGCAUUACCCUUCUGCAGCUUUUUCAAUUCUUGACAUCAUACGUGUAAAUAUGUUUGUUUAUAUGGCUCUAUCUAAUAAUCAUACAUUACAUAAUCCUGUCCUUGUUCUGCAUCCAGGUCCAGGGGGUGGUUGGGAGACUAUUGAGAAUAAGAAGAAAUCAGGGCAGACAUCUGGGAGGGGACAAUGGGCGCCACGGACUUCAUCCUCCAAUGCUCCACCCGCUACAGCACGGCAAGCUUGGAAUGGCAAUGGGUCUUCGCGUCCUUCAGGAAAUAAUUGGGCUCAACCUUGUGGUCGUGGGCCUGCUGCCAGAGGCAAUCCCAGGGCAUCAUCACAAGCAAGGUCUACAGAACCAGGAUUGCAAGCGCCAAACCCACCUCUGCUAAAUGGUUGGCAGUGGGCAUCAAGGCCUCGCCCAUCUCGUCCUGAAAGCAACAACGAUGAUGUUGCUUCCUCUUGUUUCGACCCUGAGAUGGAUGAUCCUCAAGUCGAGGACUCGUCAGAUGAUGAUGAUCUUAAUGAUGAUGAUGGUGACAUGAGCGAUGACUAUGAUUCCGAUGCAUCGGAGAAAAGUUUCGAAACCCGAAAAACAAACAAGUGGUUCAAAAGUUUUUUUCAGGAGACCGAUACCUUAAGUGUGGAUCAGAUACAUGAGCGACAGUCGCAUUGUCCGGCAUGCCAAAAUGGACCAGGAGCAAUUGCCUGGUUCAAAGGGCUGGAAUCUUUGGUCAGACAUGCUAGAACAAUGGGUUCUAGGAGGGUUAAGCUCCACAGGGAAUUGGCUGCAUUGCUGGAAGAGGAGAUGUCUCGCAGGGGAUCUUCUGUGGUACAGCCCGGCGAGCACUUUGGGAAAUGGAACGGAUUGGCAGAAAGCACCGACCGGCAGAUAGUAUGGCCACCAAUGGUGAUUGUGAUGAACACAAGACUGGAAAAGGGUGAAGAUGAUAAGGUGAUGAUGUUUGUCUAUCUUCAACUACACAUUGUAUUAGUAGCAAAAGUAAACAGCAAGACUGUCAUAUUUUCAUGCUUAUUUCUUUUAUCUUUCUAGAGCAUUUGUUUCAUAUCUAUUAAUCUGUCUGGGAAGGAUUAAAAUACUCAAUAUUCACACGACCUGUUAUAAUUAUUUGCUUGCAGUCAUGCUUGAAUUUAAUAUAAACUAGAAUAAAGUAAAUAUAAUAUGCGGUCCAUUGCAUUUGUAAAAAAAACAUAUGUUCAAGGUUCUAAAAUUAUGUUUUAUUGCAUUCUGAUUUCGCUAUUCAUUGAUGCUCAACAGUGGUUAGGCAUGGGCAACCAAGAGCUGCUCGGAUAUUUCAGUGAUUAUGCUGUGACCAAAGCACGCCAUGCAUACGGUCCUCUUGGGCACCGUGGCAUGAGUGUGCUAAUAUUUGAAAGCUCUGCCGUGGGCUAUAUGGAGGCAGAACGUCUGCAUAGGCUCUUUGUUCAUCAAGGAACAGACAGGGACACAUGGAACAAACGCAGGGUUCCUUUCUUGCCUGGUGGCAAAAGACAAUUAUAUGGUUUCCUAGCCUUAAAGGAAGACAUGGAGGAUUUCAAUAAGCACCACCCAGGUAUAAUAUUUUUUAACUUCUCGCAUUGAGAUGUUAACAUGGUCAAUACCUGCCACGUUCAUGUCUAUAUAGUACCACAUGCCUCUUUAGCUUUCUGAUGUUGUUUUGAUUAUAAUUUCCGAUCAUUGCCAACACUUGUUUGUGCAGCAACCUUUUGGUGAUUUGGAUAUUUGCCGAAAAUAUGUUUUACUGAGCAUGAUUUUUUCAUUUAUUGUAUUAAAAUAAAAAAUCAAUUCUGUCCAUAGGAAAGAGAAGCAAUUCUAUUUAUACUUGUUUAUCAUUCAGAUGACUGCCGUGCCAUCCUUUCAUUGUUUAUUUUGAUCUUACAAUGUGCAUGGAUUCUACAUCCUUUGCAGUUCAGUUUUUCUUUCACCAUGCCAUCCUUUAAUUGUUUAUUUUGAUUUUACAAAAUGCGUAGAUUCUGCAUCCUUGUGGCAAUCCUAACAUUUUCUACAAAGCUCGUAGCUUGCAAAACUGUCAUACACAUUGUAAUAUGGCAUGGGAUCCUAAUUUCUUUCACCAUGUCAUGCGCUUAGUAAUGAUGCCAGUUAAUAAUAUUAAGGGUAUGGUUUGCUAGUUCAUCCAAAAAUAGAUCUUUGUAGGUCUUCUAUGUGUUGUGUUGUCUGCUAUCCUGUUAAAUCGAAGAAGGUCUAUAGUUAUGACUUGCUUGGAGCCUAGAUUAUUUAUUUUGGUGUAAAAAAGCAUUAAUUUAGUGCAAAGGUAAAAGGAAAAUGCUCUAUUGAACCAGACUUCAGUACUUCAUGGUUUUGUUAACAGAUAUAUUGCCUACUGUACUAUGUAUGAACAUAAAUGCUUUAUUAUAAUUCUCAGGGAAAAACCGCCUGAAAUAUGAGAUGAGAUCUCAUAAUGAGAUGGUAGUGGCCCAGCUGAAACAAAUGAGUGAAGAUAGUCAAGAACGGAAUUAUCUCAAGAACAAGGUGGUUAAGACAAAGCAACACUCUAAAGCUGUAGAAGAAAGCCUGGGUUUUGUUGCCCAGAAACAUCGAGAGUCUAUACAAGAGAAUAUAUUUGUCAGGCGUAAAGCCAAGGAAAAACACGAUGAGUAUGAGGAGGAGGUAACGAUUUUCUUCCUUAAAUCUUCUUCCUUGUUUUUGAGUUCGUCUCCUUUGCUCACCUUGUGUUUCUUCUAUACUUUGCAGAUGAAAUCCCAGGAUCAAUUCUUCCAUGAUCAGAUAGAAAGCAUGCGCAGGGCCAUGGAGGAAAAGGAACGUGAGUUUGAGAGGUUGCUGCAGGAGGAGCGUGCCAAGGCUAGACAGUGUCAUGUGGACGAUUCUGGGACCACCGAAAAUCGCAGGCUAAGGUGGAUGUUUCACUUGUGCUUUUCUAUUUUGUUUUUCGAUCAUGUCUUGCCGUCUCCUACCUACGUCAACAUAGUUAAAACAUGAUCUAUUUUAACCCGUACGUGUUAUGCUGUUGUGCAGGAAGGAACAGGUACAACGGUUCAUCGACUGCCAGGUUAAGGACGUGCAGGAGUUCGAGGCUGAAAGAGACGAACUGAUAAAAGCACACGAGGAGAAGAAGGUGCAGCUCAAGAAAGAGUACAUGACAAAGGAGAUGGAGCUCGAGGAGGAGUUUGAUGCCGCUCUUACCGGUCUGAUGGAGAAACACAGGCCCGGCACCUUCCAGGCCCCCAAUGGCUCUUGAAGAUCACAGUACAUAGGUUUUCGAUCCGGUUUCCCUUAUAAACUGGAUCACUCUCCUGGCAUACUGGCUGGUUAGGAAACCUCGACUUGAUUAGGGAAACUGAGCCUGCAGGAGUGUAUGUAUCACCACCCAUCUAACGGCUUUCCUGCUUUGCCUCGGGUAGCCAACGUCGAAUGGAAAUCCGUUCUAGGACUUCAGGUGUAUGCAAGAUUAGGAAACCUCAACUUGAUUGGACCUGUCAUCUUGCUCUGCUUUAGAAUUUCAGAUAGAAUGUAUCCAAAUUAUCGUGUCAUCUUUUCAGAAUUUCAAAUGGUUCCUCUGCUGGUGUCAUUGCCAGAGAGAAGAGUUCGAGCUCUUUUCAAAAGACAUGAUGAGAAAAGUCAUUGGUGAAAAGCUGAGUUGCUUUGAGGUUUAUACUUUUGUAACUUUAUCACCAUUUGCUUUAUCUAGUCACAUUCUUUCUUGUCCUCUUCUUCAUCACCUGGAACAGCCAGUGUUCGCUAUUUGUCAUGCGAAAACCGCCAAAAGUUCUUGGCCUCCGUGACCCCGGACACUCCGGUGCCGGCACCGGAGAAGAAGGCUUGAAUCAUGCAUGUCACCACUCUGCUUUGCUUAGCAGAAACAAUAGCAAUAUGCUCUAAUUCUUGGCUUUGAAUGACAAGAAGAAGAAAAAAUGCUCAGAUUUGAGGCUUCCUUCCUUGCCACUAAACAGAAAUGCCACAUUUUUGAAAUUUGGCGAGUAUUAUGCCCUGGGCCAAACGUGUGUUAUAAUGGGCGAAUCUCAUAAGGGCGAGUCAACUCCAAAAACACGCCCGUACUUCAGAAUGUAGGCUGCAAAUCUCACGUGCAUUGUGUUUUAACCAAAAACCCGAACUGAAUUGUCACCAAAGUUAGUACGAGCUAUUUCUGUUGCUGUUUUCAACUAUCCAAAUUAGUAUGAAAACCGAAACUAUGUUUUCGGCUUAACUGAAUGUCCACCCAGAUUUUCUGUUUUCAUCUAUCCAAAUUAGUACGAAAAACAAAACAUGGCUUUCGGCUUAACUGAAUGUCCACCCAGAUCUGCAUGCCAUGGCUUCAUCUUCUGGCCUCAACCCCCUUCCUACCUUGUUGAAAGCUGCAACUAUUGAUCUCAUUUGGUUGGUCAGUUAUAAAUUGUACAGACAUAAACUGACCUGAAGAUGAGACAUCGACAGUGCCUUGAACUGAGAGCACCAUCACCAUGGUCUAGCUAUCUCCUCCAUGAAGAGAUAGAUGCAUUGCUAGUCUCUCUCAUGGGUUGGUGCUUUCACUUCAAGCACAAUCGACGCCUAGAUCUCCUUUCCAGACGGCCAUGAAGAAAGAUGCGCAGAUAUCCAUGGCUGAUGGUGCACCGCCAUCUUCGAACUCGGUAAAUCACCAAGCCAUGGCAGCGAGGCCCAAGAAGAACAGCCACAUACUGCCCCCAACACAGCGAUGGUGGUGGGACAAUUCGGUUUCUGAGCUAUGGCAAAUCCAAUCAAGCGACGACAAGCACGAAGAAGAAUGACGAUAACCAAAGUUUCAGUUGCUUGAUCAGAUUUGCCAUAGCUCAGAAGCUCAACAACAUGGCCAGAAAGAAAAAAACUACAUACCUAUCUGCUUUUAAUUUCUACCAUCAGUUAAUCAUGAAAGCUGAUUUCUGAGUGGUAACAGUCACAACAAUAUGUAGCUAACACUAAAUAUCAUGGCACCAUUUUUUAGCAACCUCAAUUUUAUCCAAAGUUGUAACUGGGGUCAUACUGAGAUGCGGCAGCUAUUGCUUCAUGAGCUGCCGCUUGGAGACAGGCCGCCUCCGUCCUCCUCUUAUACUCGUCCGUCUCCUCCCUGGUUAUAACAUAUCUCCUUUUUGCAUGAGAGUCAAAGAAAGCAGGAGCAGUGAGAGCGACGUGGUAGGUGCAUCGUCUAUCAAAAAUUAGUCGGUACUGGAGGAACUGAUCGUUCCUCUCAACAAACUGAUGACGAACCAUGGCCUCAUAAUCUAAAUAAACAGGAGGCACGACCCAAAUAAUAUCAGCCAAAUCGUCAGAGAGAGAUGGCAGCACCCAAGAUCAUUCGUUAGAUACUUGCUGUUAUCUACUACUCCCUCCGUAAACUAAUAUAAGAGUGUUCAGAUUACUAGUUUAGUGAUCUAAACGCUCUUAUAUUAGUUUACGAAGGGAGUACUCCGUAUUUGUUUCACUUUGCUACUGGACUCAAGUCUUCAGUCGAUCUAGAGGAGCACUGAAUAAAGACAGGUUAACACAUCACACAGACACUGAUCACUUGAUAGUUACAGUUCCCACUUCACCUAAAAUGGCAGAGCCAGUCAAUUGACGGCGAGCGCAAGGAAGAACCAAAGUGCCGUCGCUUGAUUUUGCCAUGGCUCGGAACCGAACCUUGACAGCAUGGCCAGGGAAAGAACUCCAUACAUGCACAGGAAAGUGUGCCACCUGCUCUUAAUUCCUACCAUCAACUAUGAAAGCACCCAACAGUCACACAAGUAUAUUUAGCUAACACUAAUUACCACUUUCAGAAGUUUUAUCCAACGGCGCAACAAACCACCAUAAUAUCAGCCAAAUCUCGAGAACCUGAUCAAAAGUCAUCAGUCAAUAGGUUUCAAUUUUGUCUUUGCCGGCCACUGGACUCGUCUUCAGUCAAAAUCUAGAGGAGCACAAUAAACUCAUCGCUUGAUAGAUUACAGCUUCCAUCUCACCUGAAAUGAGAAGAGAGAAAAGAUUAUUAUUUUUCGGAACCGAGAUAGCAGAAAAAGAUUAUUAUCUGUCCAGGGUUGAGGGGCGUGGUACCUUCAUCUUGGUCAGAAUAACAAAGACCUCAUCUGCAGGGGCAAUCUUGUAACCCCAAGCACCUUCUCAACGGAUUCCUCGCUGCAAUCUACAACCAAAUUUCCCCAUGAUUACAGGAUGCAACAACACAUUCACAUUCUUAAACAUAACUUAACUGAAUCUGUACUAUGUACAACAAAAAAUGACAGAUACACUAACCAAAAGCUAUAUGUUAGAUACAAUGCAGUUAAGAGAGGCCGAAAUAUUCAAAAUAAAAAAACAUCUUAUCAUAGAUUGGUGGCGGUACCACAGCGAAUGGGGAUAUUAUAGACAUUGGCUGCUCUGAACUGGAUGACCUAGAGAAACACAUGCAUGCAGAGGAGCAACAUCGCAAACAAAUCUUAAACAAUUGACGAAAUCAGUCCUGCCUAAUGGCUGCUGCCUCACAUUACAUAUUAGUUAGUUGGUUUCUGUGCACUAGCACACGCAUCUUCAGAACUGAACGGAAUCUCAUAGGAAACAAAUACAGCCUCUCUCUACUCGAACAAAAACAACAAAUAUAGUGAGCGGUCUGCAACCUAAUCUGGACCCAGCUAGUUGUUACAUUAUAAAGUAACUAAGUCCACAGAUAUAUGAUACACGUGACAGAGACCCAAAAACGCAAAAAACACAUCUUAUCAUUGAUUCAUAGCACACAAACAUUGCAAAUUGGGGCAUUAGAAAUUACUACAUUGGCUGCUCUAAGCUGAAUGGCAUCCAAACACAUGCACACACAAGUCUCAUAGAAAACAAAUACAUCCAUUGGCCAUGCCAAUUGCAAACUAAAAAUCCUUCAUAGAAAGAAAAAACUACUUGUGCAAAACAAACAGAAGAAGAUUUACCUUUUUUUUAUGGCAUACAAGCUCAUUAUGCAAGGAUAACACUAGCCAUGAAGAUGAGGUCUCAUUGCGGACAUAUUGCUACAAGAAGACAAAGAACAAAAAAACUUCACUUUUUGUAAAGGUGUUAGUAUUGGUCCUUGAUAAUCCACACCUCAUGGGAGAAUGACCGAAGACAGAACUAUGUGUGUCAGACAACUUUUUGCAUCCGUCUCACCAUCUGGACAACCCGGACAUACUCAAAAAAUCGAUUGCUGUCCAUUCCCAUGGUUGUGCCCACCGUCAUCGCUGUGCCUCUGUAAACAUCGUAGUUCCCACCAACAAUGAGGUCAAACCCACCAAACUCUUUCAUCAGGUCCUCAAACUCCUUGGUAUCUAGCUUCUGGAUCCUAUCAAGUUGUCUUAGCUUUCCAUUCUGCUGGGUUUUUCUCCACCACAUCUUUAGAACUCUACGGUUCACCACAGACUCCUCUACGGACACCACGCACCUCAGCGGAAUUCCAAGACGGUGUAGAGCGACUUCUGCACCCCCGAUUGCACUGUAGAUAGAGAUCACUCUCAGCCCAUCAGGAUACCGGUCCUUUAGGACCGACAAAAGGUAUGCUAUGGUAUCAGUUUGCAAGGCAAACCUCAUGGAAGCAACCUUGUCUUGUGGGUCUAUGCCCGGCAGAUCCGUAUGGCUAGCUGGAUAGCCUAGAAUCACUUCCAUCUGGUGUGGCUGCAGAGGGCCUAACUUGUCUUGACCAGUCCAGAUGAGAUUCGCCAUCUUGCAUUGAUGAAUGAUCUGCGCUUGCUUCACUUCUGAAAGAUUUCCUCGCGAAUCUUUCACCGCCUUCUCCACCUUCUCACAAAUCUGUUCAGUUCCCACCACACCUAAAGCAACACCAUCGAUCUGCUUUCUGGUGUCCCAUGAGGGCCAGAACCGUCUUAUCAGAGGCAAUGCAUCUCUGAUCGUCAUUGGUGACCUUGGAAUCGCAGCAUGCCUUCUCUCCGUUGGAAGGUUAUGAAUAUAACCCUCCUUCCGCAUCAGAGCCGAGAAUGAUUGACUGUUUAGAUACUCCGGUUGCACGUUGAAUAGGAAACUCGAGAGCUGAUUCCACGUGUCUUUGCUGAUGUCAACAAGACUUGCAUAGAGGAAGAAGGGAGGUUUGAAAAGGUCACCGUGGAUGUUUCUACCAGGGCUUGACGUCCUUUCAAGACAUUCAUCCUUCAGAGAACCAUUAGCAAUUGACCCAGAACAACGACUUAACCAUGGAGUGCGGCUAGAUUGAUUAACAUUCUGACUGCUUGAUGCCCUUCUGUCAUCUCCAAAUGCAUGCUUGGCCUUUUUACGUCUGAUGUUGGCAUCAUCAUCGUCAUCAUCAUAGAACCUCAAUCUCGAUGUUGAAUACCCAGUUUCUGUCUCGUUCGGAAAUUCAGACUCUAUCUUCACCUACAUAAAAGAGAACAUACAGUGCCAUGUUAGAAACAAGAGGGGUUAUUAAUUAGUUUUUAUUGUUUUACAUCCAUGAGAGCAUUUAAAGAUGUCGCUUUCCAUAUGAGCACUGGAGUCAGUGAUUACAUACUUUAAUAAUCAUGAAACAAAAGAAACUAGAAAACCAACUGGAAACAUCAUAAAUAGAAAUCGUUUAUGUAAAUAGUUGACCUAACUUCUUUUUGGAUAUGAGAUCAAACAGAUAUUAACAUUGCCCUUAUCUGUCCACAUAUGGUUUUUGAACUCUGCAGGAGAUCCUAUAAGUAAAACAAGGUACUCUACACUACCAUCGCUCCUACGGGGAGACAUGAUAUGCGUAAAUAGCACCCCACUUAGAAUUUUGCCACUUCCUCCCGUAAAAGGACUAACAGAUGUGGGACGACACAACAAACAUUACAUACCGGUGUCACUCACCCUAGGCUUCUAAUUCCAAUGUGAGAGUUAAGUCACAACCACGACUCCACAUAGGCCACUUGACGGUUCAAGAAACCAUCGGUACCCUCGGUCGGGUGGCGAACGCGGCUAUAAGUACCAGAAGGGAGUUCACAUAAGGGAUUACCCAGGUUUGAGCCCACAUGGUGAGGUAACACUCUACGGAGCACCUCGUGCGAGGGGGUUACAGUAGAGAUGUGUAUGGCUAUCGAGAGUAUAGUAUAUGUUGUAAAUGGGAAUGGCUACCCGCAGCCUCGCCUUAUAUAGGUGACGAGGUCUAUGGGUUUACAGGUGAUCUAACCGAUCUCAUGCCGCCACCAUCUUGGUUUGCACGCCCAAGAUGGGCUCCUGAUCUUUAUCCGAGCCUCCAGGCUCCCUCCUGUCACCAGACCCCUGCCAGACCACCUGGGCCCCAGCCCCCAGGGCAAGCCUGCUGCCGGGCCUCCCUCUGAGGGACCACCCCCGGUGUAUUACACCAUCAGUAGCCCCCGAGCGUGUCUAGAGUUAAUCUUUUUCAUCCCCGGGAAUGAGAACCUAGGCGGGCUCCUAAUGUCGACAAUUGUGGUUUGUCUUCAUGAGUCUCACUUCAAGGUAUUCAGGCCAAUGUUUUCGAGUCGAUGAGUCGACGGGUCGCUCGGGGAGGGCGACUCUAGACUAGUCGUGACUAGUCUAGACUCACGGUCGACGAGUCGACAUGGCGACGAGUCGAUGUGAGUUAAGCAGCAGGCAGUCAGGGGAGGAGCACAAGUGCACAGCAGCAGCAGCAACCAGGGGAGGAGGGGAGGAGCACACCAGCAACAGCAGUAACCAGGGCCAACUGAGAGAUGGGCCACUAGUUAUGCACUUCCCUGUGGCCCAAAAGCCCAUCUAGUAGCUAUAUACUCCUCCCGUGACCUAAUCCACCAUCCACACUCCCUCCUCCCUCACCACAGCCGCCACACAUUCGCUGCCACUCUCUUGCCACCAGUCCACCACUCCUCCCAGCGAUGGAUCUCUCAACUCCCCCGCAGCAGCUCUCUUGCCACCGCUCCUCCUCCCAGCCCGCUCCUCUUGCCGCUUCAGCUUCAGCAGCAGCAGCAGCAGCGCGGCGGCAAGGGCGCAGCAGCAGCAGCAUCAGCAGCACGGCGGCGGGAGAGUGCUCCAGAUCCAGCGCUGCCUCGAGUCGUUCGACCCCAAAACCGCGACUAGUCACGCGAGUCGCUCGACUCAUCCCAGGAGUCGAGCCGAGAGGCUGAGUCGGCCCUGGAACUGCGACUCGUCAACUAGUCGACGACUAGUCGCGACUAGUCGAGCGACUCGAAAUCCAUGAUUCAGGCUCGCCAAAUGCGCGGGUUCCUGGAUAGCGUCUUCGUUCAGAGUGACCGGUCCGGGUGGCUCUGGGGCCUUGUGCCCUAUCAGGUGCUCUGCGUAUGAUGACCGAGGCGAUCAUGCACCGGGGGAGCCCGUGGGGGAAGUGGCGACGGGUUUCGUCCGGUGACAGCGAAGAUCACAGGCCUGCUGCCGGGCUUCCUGCCGAGGGACCACCCCUGGUGUAUUACACCGUCACCACUGCAAACAGCCCAAGUCUAAUAAAAAUGAAUGUCAUUUAGUUACCUUUUUCUGCUCAGUGGUAUUUGAGAAGCGUCUUGCGAAUAUCGAGUCAGCCAACUCCUCGACUGUUGCUUCCUCGCCUGGAAAGAGUGGGAAACAUGACAUUUAAGGUUUCUGAACUCAACAGAGCACACUAACACUAGUAGACUGCAAAUAAACAUGUACUCGUCAGCUUAAAAUCAACAGAUUGAUAUAUUUAAAGUUAAGGAUACAGCUCUAAUCCUCACACCAUGUUUACCUACCAAAAAUAGCAAUCACAGAUGAGACCUCUUCUUUACUGAAACCCAUCUUGAGCAAAGAAAGUGGUGUAUCCAUUACCUCAGGCUGCAAUUCAGCAGUUUCCUGAAAAAUCGUCACUUCAAAAUAAAAGCGUGCAUAUUGGAAUGCUCUAGCACAACAAAUUCACCGAACAAAGUCUAUAGCAGCGAGAAAUGAUGUAGCAAUUGAGUUAAUACUUGUUUCUGCUCAAUGUUAUUCGCAAUGCGUCUUGCCAAAAUUGCGUCAGCAAGCUCCUCAACUUCAGCUUCUUGACCUGAAAGGAACAGGAAAAAUGACAUUAAGGUCUGUAGGAAAUCACCAAAACAGACUAACAAGUGAAACAAGUCUGCUCUACAAUACGAAAAUGAUAUUGUCAUCUUCAUGGAGAGUGAUGACAGUAACACUCUGCAUCUCAAUUCCUUGAUGUUGUUUUGAGGGGAUGUAAGGCAUGAAGACAAGAGUUAGGUUGUGGAUUUUGGUGUUAAAAUGUAAAGCUGGGCACCUUAUCUCUGACAUAUCUGGGUACGCCCAUUGAUGAACACAGAUUACCUAAUGCUCAGCUUAUGCAUUUGGUUCAGAAAAUCAGUAAGAGGAUAGGUCCAUGGCAGGGGAGUCACCUAUCCUCCUGGGGGAAGACUUAUUCUUUCCCAUGCAUGUCUGGCAAAUAUGCCUCGGUACCAGAUGGGUUUCACACCAAUUGGCAACUUUUGUUCCAUAUCUUAGAUACAGGUUUCAAUUCCAAGCUGUAGUAACUAUGAUAGGUUAAGACCUCACAUUACAUGGAUCUUAGGUGCUAACAUGUUUUUUAUUUAAUUAUUGCAGCUUCUCGACAUGAAGUACAGUUGCUGGUUAACCUUCUUGGUAUAUGGAAAGAAUCUGAGUACUCUGGCCACUCUAUUCCUGUUGGUGAUCUUGCUUACAUUUAACUGCACCAUCAAGGUUGGUAAUUAAUUUCUUAGCCUUACUACACUCAUGAGAAAUACUGUAUACUAUACUGUCGCAUGUUAUUCACACUGCAGUUUGGCUUAUAUUCUGGCAAAUUCAUUCCGCGCAUUUGACCAUCUGUCCUAUGUGGUCUUAUAUUGUCAGCAUGUGCUCUCUUCUCAAAGAUACGGACUGAAGUUUCUGCUUCAACGGCCAGGAUGUUGCUAAGCAGCUGAAGGUAAAACCAAUGUAAAUGCGGUUUUGUGUUGUGAGUUAGAUAUAUAACGAUAGAACCCAUAUAUAGUUUUGGGAUGGACUGUUUACACAAAAAAAUCGAAGGGUGAACAAAUGAUUGAUGUUUACACAAGGCACUCCUGCAGCCACCAAUAAAUAAUGGAACGAACAAAUGCUUGAACUUAGGUUGUCUGCUUUUGUUAAUAUACAGAUUCAUGUUGAACAAGCUCACGUUAGCCGCCUUUUCUUUUUGGCACAGAAAUAGUGGAGUGCCGUGAUAUUCACUUUCUUUUUCUCAUUUCACAGAAACAUAAUUGAAAGGAUCUCAAAACCCAUUGAUAGGUUUAUCUAACUUAUUGGUUGUAAUAACAUCCUGUAUUAUGGAGCAGAAGGAGUAUCCAGUAAAAUAAGUAACAGAAGCAAACAAUAUUGAAGAUUUUAGAAGCACCUACCAAAAGCUUCAAUAGCAAACGAUACUUCUUGUUGAGUAAACCCCAUCUGGAGCAAAGAAUGCGGUUUAUCCAUUUGCGCAGGCAGAAAUUCAGCAUUUCCCUGAAAAGGUGUCAAUUUAAAACAGAAGUAUCAGGCCUGAGGUUGCUCACAUUUGCAUAUGACUUAGUCUAACAUAUACUAGGUCUAGGUGUUAAAAGUUGAAAAAAAAAUGUAAACAUAAGCAACAAUCAUGAUAAAUUUAGCCAUCCUGUCUGAAGUUCAUACUACAGUUAUCAUCGCCCAUCAACAUGCCUGGAGAAUUAUUAUGUUGAGAGCUUGAUCAUUGAUAGAGGGCAGGCCUGGCGCAGUGGUGAAGUCCUCCCCACUUGUGCCAAGAGGUCCUGGGUUCGAACCAGCCUCUCUGCAUUGCACUUUGCAGGGGUAAGACUAGGUUCCUAUAAUCCCUCCCCAGACCCCACCUUGUGUGGGAGCUUCUAUGCACUGGGUCUGUCCUUAGCUUGAUCAUUGAUAGGUAUUUCAACCGGAUCAGUUCUCUUAUCUGGUAGGUUUGAAUAGUACUUUUCAUUUCUGUUUAUUUUCAGUUCAAAUUGCAGUGGAAGAACGAAGGAUGGAGCCAGAAGAAAUGCCGAACCCACAAGUACAACCAGCAGAUAUGUUUGAUUAGUACUUCCCAUUUAUGUUUAUUUGUUAGCAGUUCUAUGAUUUUUCUAAGACUGUUCUUGUGAUUCAUGUCCAGAAUAUCUGAUACUGGAACACCCAAGUGUGAGCGAAUGCGCUAGCUCAUGGCAACACGAGAUCGAGAUUCAGAGGUAGUAGAAACAAGAGCUACUAAAGAAAAACAAAAGGGAUCGGGAAAAUAAACCUCAGUUGUAGCUUCUUGAGCACUCACAAUCCAAUCCACGAGUUGAUCAAUUGAUGCUCCCUCACCUGAAAAGAGAUUAAACAUAUGUUGAGCAGAAAGCAUAUGGUUACUACCUUUACAUGUCGAUGCAGGAUCACAUACCUAACUCACUGGCUGCCAAAUCGACCUCUUGCUUUGAGAAGCUCAUUUUGGUCAGUAAAUACGACCUCCUUUUUGAGAAAGAAUCUAGCUCCUGCAGAAGUUAGGAACAUUCAGAAGAUUUGGACAAACGAGUUCAACACAAAGGACACAUGACAAUGACAGCGGGUACGAGGAUAUAUAUCACCACGGUAUCUCGGUCAGCUUCUAUUGUGGGCAGUGAAGGGGCACUGUUUUCUUCAUCAUCAGAAGCAAAUAGACUGCCCAAAGAAGCUGAUGAUCCCGACCCGGUGUUUCGCGAAGCCUAUAACAUCAAAGUAAAUUCGGUAUUUUUUUAGGAGCAUCGCUGGCAAGAAAAGGGAAGUAACUAAGAGCACGGCAAUGAAAGAGAAGACAAGUGAAUAGACAAGGUCCGGCUCUACCAUUUUUCUCGAUCAAAUCUGCCUCUUGGCCCUGAAAAAAGAAACGGUAACGAUGGCAUUAAUAUAGAUGCACUGCGGUGAGAGUGAGAGAUAAUGGAACAUCAGUUGGGAGACACAACACAAUGGAACAGAACAGAGUUAAAGCCAAAAAGAACACCCCCACACCCCACCGGAGCGCUUCACCAAAGAAAAGUACUCCCUCCGUCCGGAAAUACUUGUCAUCGAAAUGGAUGAAAAUGGAUGUAUCUUGAAACAAAAGCGUCUCAAACAAUCAACAAACAUGCACCGACCCUAAGCAGCAGAGCAAAACAUGCAUCGACACAAGUGAGAAGCAACCAAAACAUGAAUCCCAAUAACACCAACAGGGACCAUGCUCUUUAUCCAUCACAGGAGAUCAGCAUUCCUGAAUUGCUGCAUCUUCAUCCCUUUCCCCAGCCUGCCGGGCAAGGGCAUCUUCAUCUUCGCCAUCAGGGGUCCUGAUACAGAGCACCCAAUCUCCCGAAAUAUAUAAAUCCUAAAAGACACUAAUUUCAGGCCGUCCGGAGGCGGACCAGAGUACAAAACGCACCGCCGCCACCUCUACAUCUCGCCGGCCAAAGCUGAACAGCAAGAGCGCGAUGGCCCCGGCUCGCCUGCUCCGAUGCGGGCACACGACGACGCGGCACCGCCUCCACCGCCGUCGCGGCGCCCAGAGAAUCCUAUCGGGAAACCUACCUACCUGCAAUGCCGACGGAGAACCGGAGCUCCCCUCUCCUCCGGCCGCGAGGGCGGCAGACGGAGGAGACGACGGCCCGCCGCGGCCUCGCCGGCGGUCGAAGCGGGGGAAGAACCUUGCACCGCGGAGGGGACGAAGAGAGCGAGGGCGAGGAGAAGAUAGCAUUACCUGCCGCCGCGGAGAGGGUUUAGAGCUUUGGACGGCGGCGGCGGCGCCGGCCCCGGCGAGGAAAAGCCCUCCCCUUUUUCCUGUUUGUUUGUGCAAAGGCUCCGGGUGCGAUAGCAGAAUGCAGCCGCCCCCUUAUUUUAUUAUUACUCCCUUCGUCUGAAAAUACUUGUUCGAAAAAGAUAUAUUUUAGUUAUAGAUACAUCCAUUUCUAUGAUAAUUAUUUCCAAAUAAAGGGAGUACAAUUGAAUGUGCGAGGAAAAGCCCUUCCUUUUUAAUAGUACAAUUGAAUGUGCAAAUCGGUCCUUGAACUCUGAAGACUAUGUUUUGGAGGACCAUGUCUUCUUCUUUAUUUCUUUUCUUUUAUAUUCCUUUUCAUUCUUGAAUUUUUUUUGGAGUGCUCUAUAGGGGAGACGAACCGACGCAAUCGCGGCAAAGGGAGUGAGCGGUGGAUAACCGUGAUCCGGACAAAAGAGGGACGCUACUACGAUGAUCGUCUAUAAUGUCAUUAGCGCGAGCCCUUGCUAUAGUCGGUGAUACUUGUUUCAUCUGGCUCAUCUCACUCCUCUUUGCCUUCAGGCCCACCCACUAUUCACCUCAUUCACGACGAUGCCACUCAUCUCUUUUGUGUCAUACCCUAAUUGACAAGUUUUCUACUAACUUCGCUUACCACCUCCUCGUUUCCAAAAGUUGUACCAUAUCUUGUGUGACUGGCGAUACCAAAGCAAAUGCUAGUGAUAAAUAGACCGGUAAAUGACGCAUAUUAAGAACCAUGGAGGAGAUGAGAAACUAACCCAGUGAAUGUUGACACUUGAAGACUGGCAAAGUACAUUCUCAUUUUGUCUUGGACAUGUAUCUCUAGCCCUUGCACCUGCUCCGCUCCCGCUUUACGAUCUUUAGUACCAACCUUCAUUAGUCAAGGACACACUUUUCCUUCAUAGAGACCGAAUCAAACAACCAUAAGAUAGGAAGAAGUUUGUUCUCCGUUCCAACUAAAACAAGCGGAAGGAACUAGGAGAGCAAUACAGAACACUCAGACAAAAAUAACUAUGCUUACACUGUUUAUUGUGUGGUAAAAAAGGGCUUUAUCAAAUCACCCUAAACUAAAUAGGAAGAGCAACACCAUACACCAUGACAUUAUAAGCUCAUACCCGGUGGCAUUCGGUGAAACCCGUCAAGGGUGCGAGCUCUACCUGACCGCCGACUCUCAUCCCCCACUCGACACGGGCCACGGCAACAGUGUCGAGCGGAAGAAGGGAGUCAACAACGAAGACGUGCCGCCACUUGAGCAUUACUCUCUCUGUAAAGAAAUAUAUGUGCGUUUAGAUCUGGCCGGAGUCCAUGCCCUCAUGCCUCGGGAAAAAAAUGCAAGAACAAACGUAAGGGAAAGUAAACAUGUUUUCCGGCCGAGAAAGCGUAAACAUAGGAAAGACGCCAUCAUCUAAACCCACUCCACGAGCUCCAUCGACGACUGGUCGGAGUUUGAUCCCAUCUCUUCUGAAAUCCAAACCAAAAUUCCUUCCUUUUCUUUCUUCCUUCCGUCCGAAUCAAAGUGGCGAGGUCUCUUCCUCUCGGACCUCCCCAGCUGCGCCGGGAAGGCCCAUGGCGAUCCCCCGCCGCCGCGAGCUCCUCCUGCCUGCGGUCGCCGCCGCCCUGCUGCUGCUCCUACUCGCCGGACGCGCGGCGGCCGACGACGCCUCCAGCGACGACCGCGGCCACGACGCCUCCCCCGGCUGCAACAACAAGUUCCAGCUGGUAAAGACCCAAUCCCCAUCCAUUCUGCUCCCCGUCAGAUCUCGUCGCCCCUCCGCUCGCGAUUCGAGGAUUGGGUUCUGACUCGGAUUUUCCGAUGUCAAAUGUGGAAUCUUUCUUUCGACGUAGAGUAGAAUAGAUGCAACCCUGCUAGAUAGGAUGAGCUCUGUUGGAUUGAGACCAGAUUGAAAGAAAAUAUCUCAGCUGUAACACUUGAGCAUCAAACGAAUUAAACCAGUCUGCUGAGCAGCAACCUACAGCAUUUUCUGGAUUGUUGUUACACAUCGGAGCAGCAUGUGUCUUAGAACUGAACCCAAACCUACACUUUGUAUGCAUUGUCUGGUCCAAAUCUUAGAUGAAAACAAGACACUGCUGCACCUAGACCUAGUUUAGCCCCCCAUUCUUUCUCAUGCUUCCAGAUUUCCUUUUUCUCCAGGUUAAGGUGAAGAACUGGGUGAAUGGAACCCAGGGCACGACCGUUGUCGGACUGAGCGCGAGGUUCGGGUCCCCCUUGCCUAGAACUGUCGACGGGGCUCAGAGAACAUUUGCUGCCCUCACCAAUCCUCCAGACUUGUGCUCCAAUUCGACCUCAAAGGUUCGGGUUCGGCCCCGAUAUGACUCGGUUACUACCAAGUUGUUUUCAUAAGCAUUUUUCUAAUAUAAUCUAAACUAAUCCUUGCUGCUGCUGCAGUUGACCAAUUCUAUUGCCUUAGUGGCACGUGGAGGGUGUCCUUUCACCGCCAAGGCCGAAUUUGCGCAGGCUGCUGGUGCAGCCGGUUUGGUUAUUAUAAAUGACGAUGAAGGUAUUACCAGGACAGCCUGAGAUAUAUUGUUAUCUCUGCCCUGUUCGAUAUUUUUCUGGUAGGCAUGCCUGAUUCUCUUGCAGACAGUAAUCCGUUUGGUCAACUCUGUGUUUGCAGAGCUUUACAAGAUGGUUUGUGGUGACAAUGAUACUUCACUUAAUGUGACAAUCCCCGUCGUAAUGGUGCCACAUUCAGCAGGCAAGAAUCUGAAGGACUUACUGGAUCAUGGAGCAAAGGGUAAGUACAUAUUCUUCUUAACUCUCCUUACUAUUGUUAGCUGUUGAACUUCGUAAUUGCUACAGUAGUAGAGUUUGAUUAGUUAAACAUCUGUAGUCUCUUAUUUCUGCUUAUUUUCCUAAUAAAUUGCAAGAUCAUUUUGCAGACGAUAAUCCAUUAGUUUGACUCCAUUCUGUCUAAUCAAACGUUUUAGAAACAUUUGUUUCCAUAUUGUGUCAACUUAACUUAAAGCACGGAAUGCUUAGAAUUCAGACAAUUGCAUGCAAUUUUAAUCUAUUUUUUGUUAAUGGAAGGGAGUUAUACACUUAUACUUACCAUAACAUUGAAGUGCUUGAGCAUCUCCCUCAACCCUGCAUGUGUAUUCACAAAAUUUUGUAUUAGAAUUAUAAUUUGAAAAGUAGUUAAUGCAUAGCAAACCCAGUACCUAGACAAACUGCUGCAUUUUUAUCUAAGGCCUACGUGAUAAGCCAGACAGAUAAUUGGCUGAAAUAAGUGAUAUAGGGAAGGCGGCAGAUGGGGGAAUGAGAGAAAAAUGAUAUUUUAUUUCAUGGCAUGUCUCACCAUGUAGCCAAUAUUUGUGCUAAACAUUCAAGAAAAUGCACCAUAGAUCCUUUGUGGUAUGUGGCAGUUCCUCUAGUUAUGGUAGAGGUUCCGACCCUGGAUGCCUCAUGUGCUUGUGAAUCCAUGCUAAUAGUGUAAAUUGGUAUAAUCAUAGUCUAACUUCUUACUGAAGGACCGUCUUUGGAUCCUUAUCACAGAGCUUCUACAUUUUUUAACACAAGUCAACUACUUAAUGAUCACAUUUGUACUCAUAUGCCAUGCAUAAAUAGUGUUUUCUUGAAUGACUAAUCUAAGUCCCAUAUCUUGUGAGUUAAUUUUGAUACACCAGACUAUGCAUUGCUAAUAAGUGAAUGUUCUUUUGCUGUAGUUGAGGUGCAGUUAUAUUCGCCAAAUCGACCAGUUGUGGACCUUUCCGCAUGCUUCUUGUGGUUAAUGGCUGUAGGAACUAUAGUCUGCGCCUCACUCUGGAGUGAAUUCGUUGCAUGCGAACAGAUUGAUGAGCAUUAUAAUCAGCUGACACGGCAGGUCCUGACUUUUCUCCCUGUCCAGACUUGAUGGCAGUUCAUGCAAUUUAGCUUCUCAUAUGCAUAUACUAAUCAGUAAAUCUCGACUCAGAACAGGGAUGACUGACGAGACACUAAUAGGACUGCAGUGUAGAAUACAUGAUUGUUGUUUGAUUCCAUGUUAUCUACAGUUUUUUUAUUUCACCUUGAGUUGCAAAAAAAAUUGUUGUUAGGCACGCUUGCUACUUAUGAAUGAUUAUUAAAAUAAAAAAUAAUUUGCAUUUUAUUGUGUUUGUUUCUAGCUAAUGAGUAGUAAUUUUCAGGUUAUCACUUGGUUAAGUGUUUUUGCUAAUGAGUUUCUUCGUUUCAUACUAAACAGCCGGGACCUAAUUCUGGAACAAACAACACACAAGAUAAAGAAAUCCUUGAAAUCACAGCGAAGGGAGCUGGUGUUUUUGUGAUAGUAGCUUCAGUUUUCCUUCUCCUCCUCUUCUACUUCAUGUCGUCUUGGGUCGCCUGGCUACUGAUUGUAUUGUUCUGCAUUGGUGGUACUGAGGUAUUUCCUCGUAUAUUCUCUAUCUUUGCACUCUUUUGAUCACAAGGCCUGUCUACUUGUACAAAUACUUCUCUUGGCGCUUGGUUAUUGAAGUGCUUGUUUAGUUUUUUAUAUUGGUAUUUGGUUGUGAGUUUGUUUCUGUUUUGUGUCUUUCAGGGUAUGCAUGUUUGCUUGGUGACAAUUAUCUCUAGGUAAUGCAUGAAAUAGUUUACAUCAAGCAUUUUUUUUUCAAUGCUCUUUGUUUUAUUUAUCUCAUUGUCUGUGCCUCGUGUGCGCCUUGUUUACAGGAUUAAUAAGGAUUGGGGAAAUAAUACUGUACAAUUGCCCUUCUACGGGGAGGUCUUGGCCUUGUCUGUUGGAAUAGUACCAUUCUGUACGGUCUUUGCCAUUCUAUGGGUUGUUUAUCGGCAUUCUUCGUUUGCUUGGAUAGGCCAAGACAUCCUUGUAAGUUGAAUUGAUGAUGAUUCUUAGGUUCUCUUGCUAUGUUUCUAAUCUUUAUUUUAAUCCUUGUAAGACGGUUUUUUAUGACCUUCAGUAUUUAGUCUAUAUUUUAACCAUGCAGUCUGUAUUUGUCACAGGGUAUCUGCCUGAUGAUAACUGUGCUUCAGAUGGCGCGCUUACCUAAUAUCAGGGUAUUGGCAUGUCUAUUUGCAGUAGUCCUAACAGUUUUACGACUCCUGCAUGUAUCAGAAGUAUCUAAGGCUGUAUCUUUGCAGGUUGCAUCAGCUCUUCUUAGUGCUGCAUUUGUGUAUGACAUCUUCUGGGUCUUCAUUUCGCCUCUUAUAUUCCAUGAGAGUGUUAUGAUUGCAGUAAGUGCAUUCUUGACCUUUUACAUUUACAUCUAGAGUUAUUACCAGUUACGCUCUAGUUUUACAGGUUAAUUUACACAGUAGAUUUUCUAGUUAAAGCAAUGGAUUAGGCUUGUUUAUCCUCAUCAAAAAGAUAAAUAAAAAUGGAAUAGUCUUGCAACCACAUGACGAAGCCAUUUAAGGUAGGUGUACUUUGAGGGGGCAAGGAUUUGGUAGGUUGUAAAAUCGAGAGGAGGACAGGACAGAAUCCACUAGGGUUACUUGCUUAAAUACCUUCAGAAUUAAGAGAAUAAUGAGUAGCCUAUCUUGAAACUGAGUGGACUGUUAGAAUAUUCAGUGUUAUGAUCUAAUUUGGUGCUCUCAUGACCCAUAUAAAAUUGAUGUAUAUUGGCAGCAAAUGUUCAGACUCGAAACUGUAGUGAAAUGUUUAGCACAUGUUCUUUUUAAUGGCUUAUAAUUUGACGUUAAACAAAUACAUUAUCCAGCAAAAGCUCAUGUUUUUAGUAGCCUAUCUUAUUCUAUUAUGUGCUGUGACUUGUGAUUGAAAAUUUCAUUUUUAUUAAAACCUUCAGGUUGCUAGUGGUGACAGCUCAGGGGAAGCAAUUCCGAUGCUCCUAAGAAUACCUCGUUUCUUUGAUCCAUGGGGUGGCUAUGACAUGAUAGGCUUUGGUGAUAUUAUUUUCCCUGGAUUGCUCGUUGCAUUCAGCUACAGGUACUCUAUGCAUGUUACUCCGUUAGUUCACUAAUGGGUAUACACAUAGAAGUACUUUAAAUACUAUCUGGUAGUCUGGUCCCAUUCUUGCUAAACGCGAUGAAGGCCUUAAGACUCACACUUUUUGUUCUGAACCUUCAUUUGGGAUAACUAACUACCAUGCUGGAAGAUAGGUUGAGAUGGCGAAUAUUGGGGAGAUAAUAGAUCAAUUCUUCUUGCUAGGUUGAGAUUGAGAAUAUUAGGGAGACAAUAGACCGAUUCUUCUUGCUUAUCUUGGACAUCUUCAUAUGGUGAAUGCUUGGGCCCUUGACGUUUCGUAGCACAAUAAGAACUCUGUUUGUAUGAGAGGUUUACGCCAUUUGUUAAUGAUACAUCAUCACUUUGCUAUACGAUGCAGAUUUGACAGGGCAGGCAAAAAGGGUAUCUUGAAUGGAUAUUUUCUAUGGCUGACCGUGGGAUAUGCUGUCGGUAAGUGUGCUUGACUCAUCUUGUUCUGUAGAUAGUUCAUUGUUUGUAGGAAGCAGUACCUCUUGUGCAGAUCUCACAUUUUCAUUUUCUUUUUCCCCUUGCAGGCCUUUUCCUUACCUAUCUUGCGCUUUUCCUGAUGGAUGGACAUGGUCAGCCGGCGCUGCUGUACCUAGUUCCUUGCACGUUAGGUAAGCAUACAAAUUGUUCCUUUUGGUGCCUCGUCUUAUCUACUUACUCCCUUCCCUCAAUCAGCGCGACUGAUGCCCGUAUCGUACAUUGUCAUACCAGGGGUUAUUGUGGUGCUUGGUUGGAUAAGAGGCGAGCUGCCUCACUUGUGGAACUACGGAAGAAGACCAGAAAAUUCAGUCGGCGAAGAAGUCUGAAAUGUAACCUGACAGGAUUAUUUGUACUUGGAAACCGUUGACAUCCUUCGAUCUAAUCAGUUAAUGGAUCUCAACAUGAUGCUCCAUAUCCGUGAGAACUGUGCGGCUUCGAGGAAAUGUAAACUUAGCUGUAGCCAGAUUUGUGUUUGGUAUAGGUUGUACUUCGUCGACCUUGAAACGUGUGAGUUGAGGUUCGAUGUGGGAGUUAACUUUGUAUCAACAACAGAGAUUACAUAUUAUUUUAUAUAAGGCUGAGCUAAUGGUAUUCUAUUCUUAACAAAACCAUGAUCACCUAUGGGAGUUGAACAAUCAUUCAAACCCUAAAUUUUCAGGACAUUACAAUUUCAGAUAUAGUGGCACAUUGGGCCACCCAUGUUCAAAUAUGUGCCUGCUUGCAAACAAAAAACUGAAAGUGAUGUUUUGCCAAGAACAUCUAACUAGUUCAUUGUCCACAACUAAGUGAACUUCCAAGACGAAGAUGAGGCCAUCAUUUAAUAAUUUCUUCACAAGUUCACUCAGUAAUCUAAACUUUCAAGUUAACUAAGUGUGGAUUUGACCCCACCUGUAAAGAGGAGGCAACCAUCUAAUCAUCUCAUGAUAAUCUCUCUAAUCUGUCUGAGCAUUAUAAAUUUUGGAAUGGUAUUCUAUUCUUGCAAAAAUCAAGAUUACCUAUGGAACUGAGCAAUCAUUCAAACCCUAAAUUUUCAGGACAUUGCAAAUGCAUAUAUAGUGGCGCAUUGGGCCGCUCAUGUUCAAACAUGUGGAUGCAAACAAACUCUGAAAGUGAAUUACUAGUAGGAUCAGAUAGAUAUAAGAGCAUUGUAAAUUCUGGGUGAAGAUGAAUCAUCAUCGUCAUACAAGGAAGAAAUAAGCUCUGCAUAAUAAUAAAAUUGACACAGGAAUCACUCAUAAUGCACAAUGUGGGGAUUCAUAUUUCCACACUGGCAUCACCCGAUUAGACCCGUCUUGAGUUGAGUUUCAACCAUACAGAAAAUAAAAGCAUGCAGAACUAGCACAAGUAUCCAUCCGACUGUACAAUUGGUGUUCUUUACAGAAAACCAAACCAAAAGCAUCAUCAUCCAGUCAUCAUCAACUCCCCACAUCUAUCUGUACAGAGUUCGGGGGGUCAAAAGAGGGGGGGACCUAGCAAACUCCCGACUGCGAUUCAAAGCCGCUGCUUCAGGGGGGCGACAUCCGCUGCGACAAAAACCGGUAGAUGCGCCAUGCCACGCCACGCCAUAAUUCCUGCACUACUAAACCAAUCUUCCUCACUUUUAUACAGUUUGGGGGUGGACACCGCCUUUCGUUACAAGACAGUUAGACUCCGCGGCGGCGACUCCGAGCCUCUUUGUUGGUUAUAUAAUCU